rnacentral:lncRNA from 1 species
AAAAAAAAAAAAAAAAAGGUUGAAGAAUCUUAAUUCUCUAGGUUCUUGAUUAAACAAUUUUUUUAUAAAUCUAUUUUGAUGAAUCGCUUUUCAAUUUAUUCUAAUUUAGCUUUUUUUUUAAAGAUGGUCUAGUAAUUCUGUUUUUUUUUAAAAAAAAACUUUUAUUAUUUAGAUUACACAAAAUUAGUUACGUUUUAAAUCAUAUGAAAACUUGAUCAGAUAUAUUGUGUUAACUUAUAAAUUGAAUGUCAUAAUGAUACUAAUUGUUAAUUAUAUCAAUACACAUAGGUUUUUUUAAAACCUAUUUGAACUAAAAUGAUAUAAUUUGAAAUUUUAAAGACAUGAGACACGUAUAUAAAAAACUUUUAGUAAAAAAAAAAUCCAUUGUGAAAUUUUGGGUUUUAAUUAAGAAAAAAAAAAGUAAUCAUUUCUUAUGAUUCUUUGCAAAUAUAGAAGGCAAUUAGAAAAUUAGAACUUUGCUUUUUCGUUUUUUGUUUCUAAAAUAAUGAAUUGAACAACAAGUUCACCAUUCAAUACCUUCCAAAUUGGAAGAUUAAAGAAGGCAAGAGAAAGAAUUAGUGAAGCCUGCAGAUGUAGCUACCCAACCUUAUUACAUACACAAAGGAAAUACAAGAAGGAGAUCAUACCCAACCUAGUAGCUAAAAAAAACCCAAUUCAAUCAAAUAGUUGUUGAUUAAAUUCACCCCUCCUACCAUCAAAACGCAACCACACUAGAGAAAAAUGGGAGAAGUGAAUUAUACGAACAUAGAAAGAUUUACACUUUAAUUAAUUAAUUUUAUAUUUUAGUGAAUUAUUUUAUAUAUAUAUAUAUUUUUUAAAAACCCCCAGAAACUUGCUCAAUAAAUAGGCUAAGACAUCAUAAAUGAUCCAAAGUCAUAACUUAAUUUAAUCGAAACUCUUUAUAAAAGAAAAAAAGGAUGAAGUAGAAUGAGACACGUGGAAGAGAAAGAGGGGAAGUAGUGAGUGAUGAUGAGAGGGGGGAUGCCACAUGUAAAAGCUGCAAAGACAGAAUCCAUGUGCGCUUUCCCUCCUAAGGCAGGUGGUUUUGCAGUAAUCCUCUAUUUUCUCUUCUCACCCGCGCAUCACCACCGCGUGUUCUCCACUCCUUUACUAUCUUUUCUAUUUAUCCUCACUAUUCACUACUCACUACUCUGCCUUAUAGAUGACAUUGAGAUCCCUAAUCACCAACAUUUACUUUUUUUUUUACUUUCCCUUAAACUAUCCAUUUCUUCUUUUCUUUCUACUUCAUCUUAUAUUAAAUUUUCAUAAAAUUAACUCUUAGAAAUCUAUUUAAAAACUAGAUUUAGUUACAUCCUAUUAUAUAACAUUGGUAUAAUAGUAACAUUUUAAUCAUGGUAAAUAUGCAAUACGUAAAUCUGGUAUAAUAGUAACAUUUUAAUCCUUGUAAAUAUGCAACAUGUAAAUUUUAUGUACUACAAGGUGAAAGUAUUGUGCAACACUGUAACAAAUAAAUCAAUAGACGAAACAGGGAGAGCAAAUAGAAUCAGAUAUUUUAAUUGAUAUCUGUCAACUGUUGAUAUAAAUUGUGUGGAUAUCAAACUCAAUUAGUAACUAAAACACUUUUAAGUAUCGGCUUUAAAAUGUGUAUUUGUAAGGAUAAACUCUAAAAUGUCAGAUCUUCAUGACCUACGAACACUCUACGUUAGAAUAUGAUUUUGAUCUCCAAAGUUUGUUUGAUUUUAAUUUAUUUAUUUUAGAAAAUAUUAGAUUUAAUUUUAAUAUUAGUUUAUCAAUUUUUGUUAUCUAAUUCAUUUUCGUUAUAGAAACUUAUUGUUAUUAUUAAGAUGGAAUCAAUUUUGGUAAAAAAUAACUUUUAAAAAAAUUGAAAUAUUAUUUUAGUAAAAAGACACGAAUGUAUAAUUGGUAGGGCUAGGAUGUUGACAAGUGGAGGGCAGAGAUGGAGAGUGGAGGAGCUUGAGCACACACCAAUUGGGGCGUCAUCGUCAGGCAAUAGACAGCCUUUAACACUCCCAUUUCUUCGUUUUUCUUCGCUCAGAAUUUUCCACUCAUCAAAUUCUCUCGCGAUUCGUCCCAACGCCAUUUCUUCUUCUUCUUUCUCUAUCACUGUUUCCUUGAACCCCAUCUCCUCCAUUUCUCUCCUUUUCAACAUCAAUUCUUGAGCUAAGCAACUCCCAAUUAGUCUCCAUCGUUAAAACAGAGGAAAAUUUUUAAAACCCUCUCAAAAGUUUUGGACUUGUGAGGAGAUUGAAGUGAUUGUCGAUGUUCAUAUUGCGAAAAAUUUCUUAUACCUUGUUUCUCAAUCGGGAGUUAAGUUGUUGAAUGUUGUAGUUUCUAUUGAAAUGCUCGUUUUGUUGAGACAAGGGAUUUCAAUCCAUGAUCAUCGUCGCAUUCUCCUUCUGCCUUUUUCAAUUCUAUGUGUGUUUUUGCCUGAAUUCGACCAAAAACUCCAUUGAUGUUGGGUUUAUUGAUUCGAUUCUAUCUAAUUGCAGCUUCACUCAUUGUUGAAGCAUUCGAUUCUUUUUGUUCCCUUUUUUACUUAUUUGGGAUUUUGAAUCGUUUGGGUGUUUGCUUCGGAGUGGGGUUUGAAUCAGUGAGAUCCAGGUUUACUUGGAAUUGGUCUCGAGGAUUUGGCAUUGCCGAGCUUUUAAGUUCCACUUCAAUCCUUGACUUGGGAACGACACUGGAUACUCAUACCCGUUGGCAGUGAUUCAUAACUUGAGGAAAUAGAUCUGUGGAACAUAAAGCUUCUGUUGUUAUUUGCGUUUGAUCUUCAGAAGGGGAUGAUUUUUGCAAUGAAUUCUGGGUUAAAGGAGGAUUUUCUGGUUCUUGAUUGGCUUAGAGCACUUCAUAGAAGACUGGGUUAUAGUGGUCGUCUUUUCAUACUGAAGAAACCUUUUGGGUUGACAUAAUUUUCCCUUUUGUUUUUUUGCAAAAUCUCAUGCCAAGAAGCUUAGGUUUCAUUAGUUUGACUGAGUUGUAGUUAGUUUGGUAUUGUUUGUUCAAAUUUCUUCUGUGCAAAAGGCUAUUGAGUAAGUUUGUAGAACGAAUUUGAGGAAAUAUCAUUUGCUGAAUGGGAGAAUUUCUGGUUGCUCAGAAACUAUUAAAGCUCUAGAAGAAUUAUAGAUGUUGAAAACAAGUACAACAUGGGGCAGUGGAGGGAACAAACUAGCUUCAUUCCCAACAAGAAAAAGUGAAGUAAUUCAAGAAUUCAAAAGCGGAUUUUGUUCUUGGUCGGCACAAUGUCGCGAUGCUUUCCAUUUCCACCACCUGGAUACGAAAAGAAAGCUAGGAUAGAGGAUCUAGACCUAUUGAAAAAGGUUGAGCAAACUUCCCUUCAGAUCAUACAAAGCAUGAUUGUGUAGGCCUCAUCAUAGGCAUAUAUAGUGAGGAAAAAGAAGAAUUUGGUUCUACAUGCUUGUUAAUUGAUUUGAAGCAUUUGUUCUGAUUUAUGUAAUAAACUGUUUGAAUUGAAUCUCAUGAGAGCUUUAUGACUUGCUCUUUUCUAGCAUGUGCUAAUCAUGAAUCAUAAGACUGAAAGUGACUGUUCUUACAUAUUUUGCUGUGGCCUGUGUUUGUACUGGUUUGCUAUUAGGUUCUUUCUUGAUUUUUUUUUUUUUUUUAAUAUAUGGUAUGAGUGCAUAGAUUCGACAUGGCGUUUUUUCUAUUAAAAUUUAGCAAAACAUCUUCUUGUCAGUCUGUGGGAUCUCAUUAAAAGUUUUCACUUACCAACUUUUGUUUGUCUUACCGAUUAUCAUCCAUUCCUGAAAAUAAGACAUUAAAGGUUUUCAGUUUUGUAUGUAGUUUUCUCUUAUGCUAAUUGAUUUAUUCUUUUGAAAAAAAGGAUAAGCAUAAAAAGAAGAGGAAAAAGGAGAAUAGGGAUCACAAAGAAAAGAAAAAGAGCAGGAGCAGACAUAAAAGGGACAAGGAGAAAGACAGAGUUAAAGAUAAAGCUAAAACCUUGGAUGAGUCAAAACUUCCAGAUAAAAUCCAAUGUCACAAUCGACAAUUCCUCUUUCAGAAAGAUCUUGAAGACAAGGAUAACUGCAGACUAACCGAGAAGAGAUAUGCUGGACAGUCGGCUGGUUACAGUGACGGAAAGUUUAGUUGUGGUAGCCAUCUGCCUGAGAAAUUUAGUGUCUCCGAAAUUGCGCUCGAGUUACCUAAGAGGAAUAAGGAUGAGGAUGUUGAUAGUGGAUUUAGGAACCUUUCGGGGGAGAAGUUGUUUGCUUGUCUUCCAGAGAAAGAUGAUUGGAUGGAUAAGACAAUGGCUAAGGUCACUCAGAACUUCAAUGAAGGGAAGACGAAGAACAAGAAUAAGGACAGUCGUGAAGCAAAAUAUGGAGAUCUAGGAAUACAAGAGGAGUCAAAGUUCAGAAAAAGAGGGACUAUUCAGCCUAUGGUUAAAGAUGGAGUGGAUUCGGUGGAGAAGAAUGCUGAUGCUAAAACUGAAGAGAAGAAGUGGAAAGGAAAUGGGAGGGAUGAAAAAAGCAAGGACAAACAGAAGGACAAAGAUAAGGAAGGGAAAGGUAAGGAUAAAGAAAGAGAUAAAAAGAAGAAAAAGAAGGAGAAGAUUGAACAGAAGUUUGGAAACCUAAAAAAAUCAAAAGAAAGAUACGAAGGCGACGUUACCAGUCCUGAUUCAAUAAUAACAUCACAACUUCUCAGGGACAGCCACGGAUCUGUUGCAAGUAUAGGAAGCCUCAUGAAGAGGAAGGAAUUUGAGAACAAUGGAAUCUUUGGUGAGUUGAAUCUUGAUGCUGAUAAUAUUGCCUAUUUGUUGUGUUAAAAUUAGAUCCAUUGGACCUUUCCUCUUGAAACUAAGCAGGUUAAGGAAGGGCAGCUGCUCCUUAUUUCAACUGCACUUCUCUUGAGAUUACUUGAAGUUUUGUUACUGUUUAUUAUUGGCAUGAAAAUUUUGUAGUUUUUGUCAAGGAUGGCACUGUUUUAUUACCUCACUGAUAAAUUUUUGCUUACAUUUUCAACAGCCAAGGAUCAUAUGUCCAGUAACUCUACAAAGUUCACUUCUUCUUCUGAUCUGCCUAGAGUAAACCACAAGAUGUUAAAAUCUUGCCAAUCUUCUGCACCAACUGCUUCAAAUUGGCAGGUAACAGCCAAUAUUUAUGGUCUUAAAGAACACUAAUCAAACGACUUUACUGAAAUUCUCCCAGCUCUUUCAUCUGCUAAAUCUAACCAAGUUGAUCCGAAUUGUCAAAGGUACAGUCCAAGCCACCACAUCCAGAUUUAGAGUGUUUAAGCCAGGUGUAUUUAGUUCCCAAAAUGGAGGAAUGGUCAGAUUUUUGUGACCAAGAUUGGCUGUAUAGUAGCAGUGCUUCCAAAUUGAAGAAGCUGAAUGCACACAGGUAUGAGAUGGAGACAACGACACCAUACGUAUGGGCAGAGGCAAUGCAGAUUGACUCAAUUGAUAUCUGCGCUCUACCGUAUGUUGUCCCAUAUUGAAAGCUAUAAACGUCGUCUUAGCUGCAUCGACAACUCUGUAUGAUAUGACACAAAGUUAACAAACAGCCCGGUGAUGGUUUUUCAAUUGUUCUGCAGCAUUCCUUCAUUUUCACUCAGUUGUUGAGGUCUAACAUGAUUGAUAUUUGCUCUGUGAUCGAUGUUGUCACAUGAACUCGCUGCUGGAUCAACGAGCUGGGAUUUGGACAAUCUUUUUCACCAGUUAACACUGAACAUCCCUAAUUCAUUUAUGUAGCCAAGUAAAAUGCAAGCUCAUGAGAUUGCUUAGUAGGCAAGAUGCAUAAGCUUAUUAUGUAAUUUCCUCUUUCAUUUCAAAAGGGAAGUUAGAUGUGCAGAACUUAACUCUUGAUAGAUUUAUAAGAAAUAGAAAUAUAUAGAAUUUAGUCAUAUUUAUUUAUUUAUUAUUGUCUUCUAAACACACAUAUAGAAUAAGAAUCACAUUGAAAUUUGUUUAAAUUAGAAUCUAAUUAUGUUAUUAUUUACAACUACAACCACAUAGAUGAUUAUUAAAUUCAACUAGUAAGAUUGCAUGCACUCAAUGUUUAGUUUAUACGUCUCUUUGUGAAUGAUAUUAUAAAUGAUUUCGACGUAUGUCGUAACUUUCAUGUGAGUCGUCGUCUUGCCAAUUUUCAAUUUAUUUUAAUAAUUUAAUAAUUUUCAUUUCAUUUUAUUUCAAUAAUUUAAUCAUUUUCAUUUUAUCUCAACAAUUAUACAUUACUCUCUAAUUUAAUAAUUUAUUUUACCACUUUUAAAAUUUAAAUAAAAUUUAUUUAUUAUAUACUACAUAGGAGUGUUUGUAAAAAUAACAAUAACAAAAACAAUUAUAAUAACAAUGUGUUUGUAAAAAUAACAAAAACAAAAACAAUUAUAAUAACAAGACUAUGUCACUCAACUCUUUAAUAGCUCUUUAAUAGAAGUUUGAUAAACGUUAUUAAUUAUUUUGUUAUCGUUUUCCUGUUACAUAUAUAUAAUAAAAGAAAAUUUGUCAAAAUAGAACCAUAUUACACUCAGUAACAAAUUUUUUCUAGUAAUUGUGUUCUAUAAAAGUUUAAAUAAUUUUUUAAUUUUUUGCUAUUUUUUAAAAAAUUUCCUAUAAAAUUUAAAGUAAAAUUAAAUAUUAUAUCUUAACUUUAAAUUAAAACUUCAACCUCCUACAAGUUACACAUUUGAAGUAGUUUUUCUCAAUUUUUUUAAAACAAGUUAUGUCAAUCAAGCUAGUAACACAUUUAGUUUAGUAAAUAAUAUUAAUAAGUCAGAAGUUAAUAUAUUGAGGCUAGAAAAUUUUAUCGUAGUCGUCGUUCAAACAAACAGUAGUUUUUUAAAUAUGAAUGAACAAAAAUAAAAUAUCAUCUUAUAGACAAGUCGUGUAAUAGAUUGGCCUACUAGCACCUCUCUCACUCUGUACUAGGAAAGUCAUAGCCUAAUAGCCAUACCAAAUUUGUUAAUCAUUAACCAUAGUAAAAUAAAAUAGGAGCACCCGAUUUAUUAAAGAAAAACUAUAGUAAUACUAAUAAUAGUUUGAGAAGGACAAUAUUGUUUUUUUCUUCCUUCAAUAAUUUCACGAACAUGUUAUUCGAUAUUCUUACCUCCAAGAUAGAAGACCAUGCUAAUUAUUAGUGCACAGAUUUAUUAGUUUUUUUUUUUAAAAAAAAGACAAUAACUAUUAGCGUAAAAAAAUUAAAUAAUAAAUUGUAAAAAAUAGAACAUUCGACUAAAUAUUUACACUUUCUAGAAAAAUCAAGUGUAAUAAAUUUUGUUUUUCAAUGGUUUUGUUCUAUGAAGUGUAAAUAGUUUGUUAAAAUUUCAUGUUUUUGAAGAAAAACUCUUUUAAAAUAUUUUAUUAUUUUUUAUUAUCAUCGUGUUUUUCGUAAUCUUCUCCUUUUGAAGUAAAAAAUAUUGAUCUCUUAACUAAAUUCUUUGAAGACUCUUUGGUUCGGUCCAUUGAUAUUACCUAUUAUUGUCUCAAUAGUUGGUUUUCAAUUAAAAUCAAAAACCAAAUGAUUACCAAACAAUACCUAAAAUACUUCUACUUGAAUUGUUUUUUAGAACAAGAAACUUUUGUGUAAAAAAAAUUAAGUUUCUUCCUAAUAAAAUAAAGUUGAAAUCAUCCAUAUACAAAGAACACACCGAAAGAAAAACUCAAUACAUUAUACACUUUUCAAUAACCACUCUAACCUAAAACAAAUGUUGCAUAGUUAGGCUCAUGAAGAACAAAUGAGCCGAAUACUUGCUUGAAUAAAGGAAUAAUUAUUCUUAAGAUAUACACGUUUUUGUUAUUUGAAUUUGAUUACUAUAAGAAAUGAACAUUUUAUGGAAAGAAUUAACAUGAGUUAAGUUAUACGAGUUAGGUCUCAUACAUAUAUAUAUAUAUAUAUAUAUAUAUGUACUUAUAACUUUGUUUUAUUGUUAGGUUUGUUGUAGGCUCCGCAAACCUAUUAAUGUCAUAUUACGUCUUUCUUCAAAACACAUUAUAAGUGAUAUAUCUAAACAAAUAUCUUGAUCUAAAAUAAUUUAAUCAUAUCAACUUUUUACUUCUUUUGGAAGAUGCAAUUAAUACUCUAUAUCUAUAUUAAAGAAUCGUAUUGAAAAUUGUCUAAAUAUUGGAUUUCGUUUAGAAACAAGCAACCAAUAUAAUGAUAAGUUUUAAUUAAGCUUUAACUUUAAAAAGUUUUAUUUUUGUUGUUAAAUUUCAUAAAUUGUUCGAAGAAACUUUCUUAAGUUCUAAAGUGCAAUUCUUUUUAAAUGAAGAUGAAAAUUAAUCGAAACAAUAAUGCAUAAAAGUUAGAAAGUACAUAUAUUAUUAUUUACAACUAUAUAAAAGAAUUUUAAAAUUCCACACGGUGUUAGUUUGAGGAUUCAAAUUUUAACCUCUACAAUCGAAAUAUAUACACAAACAUAUAGAUUUUAUUAGGAUCGACCAUUUAUUUUUAGUUUUUAUGUUUCCGUGUGUUGAUUUCAACUUUACAUUUUAGUCAUCAAUGACAAGAAGAGAAAAAAGGAACUUCACGAAUAAUUUUUUUUAAAAAAAAAACCCUCUAGAAACAAAAUUUAUAAAUAAUUUAUCAAUUCUUUCUAUUUUUGAAAAGAAAUUUGUUGCGUAUGAUUUAAGAUUAAAAAAAUGUGUAUAAAAUUGAGAAAACCAAUGCAAUUGUUGAGACAAAAAUCUUCUAUGUUUAUUGAAGUCAUUGUAAAUACCGUACAAUGGGUUCACUAUGUUGAAAGAGGUCUCCAUCACGUCAACUUAAUCCUUAAUUUCUUUCAAGCAGUCAACUGCACGCCUCAACUCGACAUCUUAAGCUUCUUAAAAAAGAUUGUUAAAGUAGACAAAAAUUUAUAAAAAUAUUCUCUUCAUUUAAUAUUCAUACUCUAGUAGAUGCAUGUGUAUUUACUCUUUACCAUAUCACUAAGAAACGAUAUUUCAAAUAUUCAGAACAAGUUGUUUACAUCUUUUAUAUAUUUUAAAGAUGAUUUCUUUUAUCUUUAAAAUAUUUAUCUUAACCAUAUAUACGAACCUCUCUCUUUUUUCACCACUGUUCUCUUGAUAUUUUAUCAUCUUAAAGCUAUCUAAAUCGUUUUGAUCUAAAAUCAAUGGUAAUAAUAGUUCAUGAAGAUUCAAAUAGAUUGAGACUAAGAAACUCACUUGAAUGUCGUCAAUAAUCAUCCGAUCAAAGCUCAAUUCAUCAAAAGUUUCUCAAAAUUUUGGAAGUAAAGCAUAGUUACGAUAUAUAUAACAAAUAAAAAAAGGACAGUAAUGAAAAGAAAUAUUCAACUCAUAAUUCAAAAGUCCCUUUUUCUAAAAGAAAUUAAGUUGAAACAGUAUUUAGAUCUUUUAAUGUGGAAAUUAAACGCUUUGCAAGCCAACAGUUAUUAAACCCAACUAGUGGGAUAAGGAUUUCUUUUAAGUUCCCAUCAAACAACUGCACCUCCUCCAUUAUUGCUUUGUCUACUCAAACUUUAAAACACAAGUAGACAGAUCCAUAAUGUGGACCCAAUUCAUAGAAAGAUUAGAAGAAGAAAAAAUGAAAUUUAUCCUAUCGACUUCCGCUAUUUCACCAUAAAUCCAUUGAUUCUAUAUUACUUCUUACUUUUUUAAUACAUGGGAUUGAGGGUAGUCUUUUUUUACUUCACAAAAAGCUUCAAACAAAUGUUGUUCUCUUUACGCAUAUAACUUUCUACCACAAAAUUUAACAAAUACUGCAAUGAAUAAGUGUACAGUAAAAAGAACAAUGUGAUUGAAGGAAUAAUUCUCAUGUGUAUUCUUUUACCCUAAAACUAAUACGAAAGCAACACUUUAUGAACUAUUUCUAGUCAAUCAAACAGUUACAUUAAUAAAGUUGUGAGAAAAGACAUAAUUUUUAUUAAAACAGUGUCAUUUCGUCCGUGGAAGACGGUCUUUAAAGUAAAAGAUACCAUUUCCAACUUUACCUUUUUUAUAUGGUCUAAAAUUCUUUAGUACGAGUUCUUUUUUAGAAUUAUGAAGAUGGAUGAUCCAACCAUCCAUCUUUAGUUGGGGCCAAAGUCAGAAAAUAAUUACAUUACAUUAUGCAGACACAUUCUAUACAUAUAUGUGUGUAUGUUGGAAAAUUGUGUGUAUUCACAAGAAGCACUGCUGCCAAAUGCUGUGAGUAAUUAAGGCUUUUUGGGGCAGCUUUUUCAAUCCGCAUUAGUCGUUUAAACAAUCAAAAACUUUUUAAGCCUCAACCCACCAUUUGUAGGCGGCUGACAGUUGUGGAGAUUAAAAAAAAAGAAAUCAUAUUUGUGUUGAACCAUAGUUUAAAGUAUUUUUAAAUUUGAGCUUGUUAGGUAUGAAAGACCCACCAAGAUUGAUCUACUCUUUAGCUUGGAUGUAAUUUCAAUACACCUUAAAUUUAGUCUACAAUUUCAAUUUGAAAUUUAAAAUUAAUUUCGAUUGACAACAAUUUCUAUGGUAACACGAGAGGGGGAAAUCGAUAUCAACAUUAUCAAAUGGACAAAAUUAAGUUGCAUCAAAGUAUGGGACCAAAAAUAUAGAAGAAAAAAUGAUAAAUAAAGGACCAAAUUGAUAGGAUAUUUGAUGGUCUCCUUCAAGUUCUCUAUGUCGUGGUUCACAUAAAACCAAAGUUAGGAACCAUAUGAUCACAAAUUUCGUUUUGAUUUUCUAACUUUUAAGAUUUAGAUUUGUUAUGUAUAUAAGAUUUAAAAAGAAAAAAGAUUGAAAAAUUAUUGCAUAAAUGACAAAAUUACUAAAAAUAUUUAGAAAGUAUAAGAAAAGUUAAUCAACAAUUUUGCUAUACUUUUGUUCAUAUUUUGCUAUAUUUCAAAGGGUAAUACUCGGGUUUGGGCAUCAAAAUGAGCAUUUGGGGUAGAAAUGCAUAUAAUUAUUUGUCAUUUGAAAAUGACUCACUUUUUCUUUUUAUUGUUAAGCUUUUCACAUAGAGUAGGUUUCAAGGAAAUUACAAAGAAAAAACUAACAACAAAAGCUAAUGUUACCGAAUAAGCCGUAUUCUAUUUACUGAUUCUGAGUCAAACAUGGGUUUUCCUUGAUAUGAAUAAUUCUAUUUCCAUCAACUUUGUUCGUUCAUUUGCCGGCGCAUUCGAGCUCCCCAUGACAUAUUUGGUCUCAAAUCCUUCUCCAUACUUCUUCUCUUCAAUUCCGAAAUCUGAGCUUCCCAACUGUUUCUCCAUCCACUUUUCUGUGCAACUUCCUGAAUCCAAUAUCAAAUUUGGAAGGUUGAGUAUAUGAUAUGAAAAUAGGAAAUCGAAAUUUUGCAAUAGGAUUGAUUGUUUGUUAGACUCAGUGGAGGAAGAAAAAUAAAGGAUUCCUUACAGGUUCGGUAGAACACAAGAAUUUAAUGGAGAAGGAAAGAAAUUAGGUGAAAAUGUUGAAUGUAAACAGAAGAGUAGGGAAAAUUAGAGGUUUACAGUAACGGAAUUCCAUAUUGGGAGGAUUUGCUAGUGCAAUUCCGUUUCUUGAUCAUAGAACAAAUCACUGAAUAAUCAACGAUAGGUCCUUGUUUAAACAUGAACAGUAUACACUACCAAUCGUACUGCGUCCGUAUAAGACAGUCGGAAGAACAAAAAGGAAAGAGGAAAAGAAAAACGACGCUUCCUUUCCUCACUUUAAAAAUUCAAAAUCAUUGAGAUUAAAAUUCUUCACUGAUUCUAAUCUCUAUGGACACCAUAUAAGAAAUUAAACACGAAAUCACUUUAAAAAAACAAGGGGAAACACAAAAAAAUCGAAGGAGGUUCCAAAAUCCGCUAAGAAUUAAACAUGAUUAUCCUUAAAAUACCGAAAAAAGAAAGUUGAAAUCGGUAGAGUGAACUAAUAUAAUACCUCAUCGGCGUCGUAUCGUCUCCUAGCAGAGAACGCGACUUGAAGCCCUCCAAUCAUAUCUCUAUCAUACAGCGCUCUCCUCCUCGGAUCUGCUAACGUUUCGUACGCCUCCUGAACACGAAUGAACCUCUUCGUAUUUUCCUCCACACACCCCGGCGGUGAAACGUCCGGAUGGUACUUCCGAGCGAGCUGCUUGUACGCGCGCUUGAUUUCCUCCAAGGAUCCGGACUUAGAUAUGCCGAGCAAAUCGUAGAAGGAGCCUUCGGCGACCUCGGAGGAAACGAAUCCUUCGUUGAACGAGGCCUUGGCUCGAAUUGAAAGAGACGGCAAGCGCGUCGAAUUGAACGGCGGAGUGUGUGGAAAGCAAACCCGAGAUCGGUAGCCGGAAAUUGGUCGGCGGGCGGUAGUGGUAGGGUUAGAAGGGAUGUAGAAGCGUGAAUCGCUCCCUGAAAAGGUUAAAUCGGAACACUGCAUUUCUCUCUGUUUUUCUCCGUCUAUCUUCCGUUCUAUCAUAUUCCGCUAUUUAUACGAGACGUCCAACGCUGAGUCAUUUGUACGGUGCUGCUUCGUUUACAAUUAAAUAUGCUUUAUCCUUUUCUAUUUUCCUUUUUCCUUCUUUUUCUAAUUAAAUUUAUUUUCCUCCCCUCUUUAACUAAAAACAAUUACUUUUUAGUACAACAAUCCGACGUUCAACUCUCCAUCUAUCACUACAAUUGAAUUAAACAUACACCUUAAAAAAUACUCCAAAUUUAUUUUAAAAAUUCUAAAUUACAAAUUUAAACCUUUUUGUCUUUUAUAGUAAACCGUUGAACAUUAAAAUGUAUAAACUAAACUAUCAUUAUAAUUUGUAAUACUUUAUAAAUAAUAGUUAAUUAUACGAUAAAGUUUUAAAAUAAUGAAAAAUUCCAUUAUACGAACAUAUACGCUACUUUCGAUUAUAAAUUUUGUCAUUUAACUAUUUUAGGUGUUAGUAACGCAAAAUAAUGGUAGAAAAUAGCACAUAUUUCAAAGAUAUAUAUGUGUGGAUUUUGUAUAGAUAUUUAUAUAUCCAUUUAUAUAACUUUAGUUUUAUAUAUAUAAAUUUGAAAGUCGAUAUUAUAAAUUUUGUGUAAUGUUAAAUGAUAAUUUAAGUCAAUGUAUAUUUCUUAUCCACUAAUUUUAUUAUUUUAGUCACGUUCAUUUAUUUGUCUAAACCAAACAACUACCUUAUAAAUUUUUACAUUCAUAUUUGUUAUAAAAGCAAGAGGAGAAUAAAACUAUAUGAUAAAAGAAAAGAGAUGGUGUACAAGUAGAAUUCCUUCACCAAUACUCCAAGAGAACAACUUGUUACCUAAAUAUCUCUACCCAAUAACCCAACCAUGCAUAUGUGACUUAAAUGAAAUAUGCAUAUCUCAUAGUUUAAUAAUAUGACAAUAACUAAGCAUAUAACUAUUUAAAAAUAAAUCGUAAAUAUAACAAAAUCUAUAAAUAAUAUACUUGUAUAUGAUAUAUCAAUAUUACCAAGCUUUUAUAUAAUUAAUUUUCCUUUUCAAAAGUUGACUCGAUACUAUUAAAAUAUAAUAAUAAAAAUUUAAACAAAAAAUAUAUUUAUAAACUUAACUUUUUAAAAUCGAUAUCGUCACACAUAUAACGUAUGAUUGAGACAAAAGUUUAGAUCUAUUGAUUGAAUUGUAUUAUGAAAAGCCACCAUGCAUGACUAUUGCCUCCAAAUAUGGGUCGGAAAAUUAAAUAAUAUGCAUAAGAUAUGGGUGUUUAAUUUGUUAAUUGUUUACAAAAUAUUAAACCAAAAUCUCUUUAUGCUAAUUCAAAUCUCUUGCCCUAAUAAACUAAUGAUAUACUCAUGAAGUAAAAUUUGUAUUAUUGGUUAUGGUCUCGUAUUUGUAUUGCCUAUCAUUAAUUAGGACAAACUAAUGGAACAAAAUUAUAAUUAUUUAAGUGUUAUGAUAAUUAAGCAUUGAUUAGAUUAGUAAAGCUUUUGUAUGCAUCGAUUUGUACAAUAAUAUUGUGACAUUAUUGUUUUUGUUGUUAUUGAUUUUUUUAUGGAAGAGGUGGGUGUAUCUAUUGUUUAUCUUAAAGCUAAAUUUAGAAUGAAAAUAUUUUUAAAAUAGUAAAAUAAAUCAAAAUAAUUUUAAGUUGUAAUAAAAUUUUGAAUUAUAUCAAUUAUAUAAGGUGAUAGACUUCUAUUACGAUCUAUAUUAAUACUAUCAAUAGAAAUAUACAUGUUAUUAAUAGAAUCUAAAAUUUUGUUAUAUAGCGUAAAUAUUUUAUCAAGUUUACUAAUUUUCAUGUUGCCGAACUAUUUACCGAUUAAAAGGGAAAAAAAAGUCUGUAAAGGGCUAUAAAUAAAAGCUCAAUAGAGUUUGCUAUAUUUUAUUAAAAACAAGUUAUAUUGGUUCCUAAAAGAAAUUGGUCUACUUUUUUUUAAAGAUAAAGUCUGAAUGAUGCGGUCCUAUCAAAUAUCAAUUAUAGAAAAAUAAAAUUAAUGCAAGUUUAUUAGUUAUAGAAUAAAGAAAUUUGACUCUCAUUUUGUGUAAAAUAAAUUAAAUGCAAUUAAAAGUCAAUUUAUCUAUAAUAUAUAUAAAAGGUUGAGUGUGGAUAAAUUUGUUUAUGUUCCACUUUUUUUAUUUUAUGGUAAAUUUAUUUUUAAUUUUUUUUAUUAUAAGUAAUUAUAAAAGACUCACUGUCUUCUUCUACUGCUUUUUAAAUUAAUUAUAUUUAAGUUUAGUGGAAUUAAAUGGUUUAUAACGUGAAAAGUUGGAAUGCAAAUGGUUUUUCAUUUACAUUUUCAAAAAAUAAUUAAAAGUUAAAUAUGUUAUUAAUUUUAAUUAACCAUACAGAUUUAAAGACUUAAAAGUUGAAAAGUUUUUGUAAUUUUCAAAACUUCUAUAUUUAGAAGUUUAUUGAUGUAAAAAAUGUAUGCAUUUCAAUCUUAUUGUUUGAUGGGAGAGUGAAGCCUUCUAAAUUGAAUACCACCCCACAAACUUAUAUUAAAGGUGAAUUGUCUCAUUAUGCUAUUGAGAAAUUUGGAUUCAUCCGAUAGAUUGUUUAACCAGACAAGAUUGAUAUGUCGAUCAUUUAGCAAAGAAUAUUAAAAUAGCAAAUGAGUGAUCAUGCAAGAAAACUAAGUUUUUAUUCCACGAAAUGACAAUGAAUAUCUAAAGUUCAAGAGAAAACGAUUCUCCAUUUGUUUAUGCUUUGCAAUGACAAUUAACAAAGUACAAGGACAAACAAUUUAUAGUGUUGGAAUAUAUCUUCGAACAACUUCAUGUUGUACCAUUCAGAGGAAUUUAAACGAAUAUAACAAAAGUUUGGAUCAAGUCCAUAACUACUGUACAAAAAAAAAUUGUUUAUAAAUAUAUAUAUAUAUAUAUAUAUAUAUAUAUAUAUAUAUAUAUAUAUGCAAAUCUUACGUUUUAAUCUAAUUAUUGUAAUUUAUUUCCCAUGUACAUCUAAUUAUAUUAUAUUUUAAAUUUUGUAUUUUUAAAUUUAGCACAUCCUAGAUAUAUUCAUGCAAUGUCUAUAAUCUAAAACUACACAUUAUACAUGUCAUGUAGGUGCCUUUUACUAGUUAUGUAUAAGUUGGGCAAUAGGUCCAAUUAAAAUAUUUCAUUCGAUCAAAUGGUUACGAUGAAAGUACGUGAUAUAUAUCAUCUGACUUGGUCAACUUAGAUUUUUAACCAUUUAACUUUAUUGUUAACCAGGGAAGUGAUGUUACGAUACGUGAUUGGUUUAAAUUUGAUCAUUUUACGAUCAUUUUUCUUCAAAUCAAGACGAUUACGAUGAUGACGACAAUAACAUAGGCUCGAGUUGAAAAUGUGAAAUUUUAAGUUAAAUAAUAAUAUCAGUGGGGUCACGUUUGAAAAAGAUGAGAUUUUAAUUUAAAUAAUCGUGGUGUCCAAUAAAUAGUUACCCUUUUAUUUUCCAUGCAACACGUGUCGAAAUUUGGUUGGUUCUAAAGUUUGAUCAAGCAAAAUCCAUCAAGUCUUUAUUAAUUAAUAAAGUCAAUGAAGUCAUUAAUUAAUUGGUAUUUAUAAAGACAAUGCUGUUAAUUAAAAAAAAUACAAAACAAAAAGAGAGCAAAAAUAGUGGAUGACAGCUGAAGUUUAAAUCAGCAUAAAAUUUAGAUACAACGAACCAUUAGAAUAAUGUUUCAUACACUUUCAAAAUUCUAUGAAUUUAAUUUGAAGUGUGGCGUUGGCUCGAGAGAUAUCCAUUUUCUCCAAAGAAAGUAGGAGUUCGGUGGGUGAGAGAAGAAAACUUAUCUCCAACUAAUGAUGUUUGAAUGAAAAAUUUCAUAUGAGAUAACACUGCGCAACAUGUCGUGAUAUGCGAUAUGGACCAAUCUAUGCGACAAGAGUCAUAAACGAUAAAGUUAUCGAAUUUUGUAAAUGAUGUGAUAUUGAUAUUGAUUACGAGAUAAUAUUUAGUUAUGUCAAAUGUUAUAAUAUCUCAUCACAUAUGCUGACAUCCUAGGCGAGAUGAGUUACAAUAAAUAAUAUGAUUUUUAUCGCAUAAUUAAAGAAUCAAGCGUUUUAUUACCGUUUUGUAUUUAACGUUAAACGUAAUCUUUUUAUAAUUACAAACGCUUCAAAUUAAGUUCCAACGUCUUUAUUUGGUUCCUCACACUAUAUAAACUAUUUUACUUCUUUCAUUUUGUGUGAGAGAAAUCACACCAAAUACUUUCUUUCAAACCUCUUUAUGUGAGUUUUAUGAGCAAAACAAAGUUUUUUAUUUGAGUGUUGAGAUUCUGAUGGUUUCAGUGCAAAACUAAUUGAAGAAUAGUGUUGUUUUAUUAUGGGGACGACAAUACAAUAAAAUAUGUUUGUACAAAUAAGCAGAAAUGUGAAACGUCUUAAAUAGAGCAAAAUAUGUGACUCAAUCCUUUUACUUUAACUUAUUCCUGUAGUAGGUGUUUUAACCAGGCGAACUGAUCAAUAGGCAAACUGUUGAGUACAUGACUAGUCCCUACGAGUUGAUACUUAGGCGUUGUGAUAAGUAACCAAGGCGAGACAACAAACAAUCAAUUCAAGCGUUUUGAUUAAACAAGGCGAGAUACUAAAUCUUCAAGCGAAAUACAAAACGAGCUAGCAUUUGGUUUUCUAGGCAUCAAGUCUAGAGUUAAAGUUUCUCAACUUACAACUUCUUCUAGGCGAAAUGCAACAACAAGUGAGGUCGGGAUAGGAAAUACAUUAUACAUUUUCAUUGUUGUUUUUCUUUUUCUAUUUAUUUUAACUCUCCAUCUUUAAAAAAAAAACAUGUCUUAUGAAGUUGAAUUUAUGUUGAGGUUGAUUUUGAUGGAUGCCGUUUGAUCUUUUAGUACGCUUGAUUUUGAUGAAUUAUAUUUUACUCAUUCAAUCAUUAUCAUUAACUCGUUGAGUAACAUACAUGUCAAUAAAUAUGCCAAACAAGUUCUCAAUAGUAAUCGAUAAGUAACUUCGGUAUUCUCAAAGCUCAUGUUAUGUAUCUUUCAUUAAUUAAAAUGAAAAUAAAGUUUGAAAGCAACAAUAAAAAAAGAAAAACCAGUUGUCAACACUCAUCUCCUUCAAGGAAAUCAAGCCAAAAUAAGAAAAUUCAAAAGUAAUUUUUCUUUUCGUGAAUAAUUGGACAAUACAAAAUACUUAAAUAAUUUACUUUCAAAUAAUACAUACAUUAAACAGAGUCAAUGGCUAAAACAUGUAUAGCUAAAUUAUGUUAAUCUUGAGAGACGAAACACCAUUAUUUCGUAUAAAUACAACCGCGGAUCUUAAAUUUUAUAUAUGAGCACUCGACACUAUAUAAUAAACAUACUAAAAAAAUGUAAAAAAAUAUUUUGACGUUUGUCUGAUACUUCAAUAACAUUAACUAGCAAUAAAGAAAGAUCGACAGUUUUCACAUGAUUUUUUGUAAGGUAAAUACGUAGAUUUAAAAAUUGCAUAAAAAAAAAGAGUAAUAUACCCAUGACUUUGUUUUACCGGACACAACUACUCUACAAAAACUAAAAUUUACCUAAGUUAAAAUAUUAUUUAAUAUAUAUUGUAGUAUGAAACUUUAAAAUUAAUAUUAAAGUACAAAAACCGAGAAUGUGAAGGAGUACGUGCUCCUUUAGCCCUUUAAUAAAUCCAUCCGUUACUUUAAACGCGUAUAUUAAAUUUAGUUAGAACUCUAUUACAUUUCUAUGGUUACAUUUUAGAAAUAUAUUUACUUAUACACUAAUAUACGUUAUGUGUUUAUUAUAAUUUUUUUUAUUUAAAACAUAUUUUAAAUAAAAAUAUUUUUUUUAGAAAAAUAACUAUUUAAUAAACUAUUUACAAUCAACAAAACCAGUGAAAUACAAAAAUAAAAAAUUGUCUAAAAUAAAAAAUUUAACAAAAUAUCUAUAACAAACAGCAAAAUUUUCAUAUUCUAUCAAUAAUAGAUGUUGAUUUACACUCACAUAGACCGUGAUAAAUAUUUGUAUGAUUGAUAUUAAAAUUUGUUAGCUAAAUAUUUUUUACCAUUUUAUAAAAUAUAGUUUUAUCGGAGAAAAAGAGAGAAUUUAAAUGUUCAAUUCUGAUUGGCCGAAGAUCAGGUUUGACGUACAAGCCACAAUACGCUACAACACAGCAGAUCACAGCUCUAUGUUGUCGUCUUCGUCUUCCCCUUCUCGCUGUGUUUGCUUGUCUGGAGCUUCGUGUGUCGAUCACAAUCCUCACAACCUUCUCUUUCGCACUGUUCAUUCUCAUCCUACUAUCUGCGAGCUGAAUUUCCUUAUCCCUUUCAACGAAUUCGAACAAAAGUAUCUCAAAUUCGUCAAUUCUUAAACUCUAGGGUGAUUUUGGAGCAUCAUCAAAUGCAUCUUCAAGCUCAAAUUCUCACCAAUCAGUUUGUACCUUCCAUUGUUCCUUUAAAAUCAACUUCGAAAUCCCCAUUCGCUCACCCAAAGGGAUGCCGUUUCCGUGAAGUUUCGUAUCGGGCUCUGAAAUGUUCUGUUGCGACGAUUUCCGAGUCGGCCCCGACGGAACUGCGGAAUGUGAAGCCGUUUCCGGCUGAGGUUUCGAGGACGAUCAUGGAAUUGUCUUCUGUUGGAACGCUUUCUUCUUUGAGCCAAGAGGGAUGGCCUCUUGGUGUUGGCGUUCGUUUCGCUGUUGACCAAGAUGGUACGCCUCUUUUGAGCUUGAAUGAAUCUUUGCCGGAGUUCUCUAUCGAUGGGAGGUCCAGCCUCCAUGUUCAGGUUAUUCAUUCUAUUGGGUUACUAUUGAUAAUGUAAAAUUUUGUGUGGAUAGAUACAUCAUAUGUCAAGGCUCCAGUUGGGGUUUUGAGAAAAUGAAAAUGAAAUCUCUGAAACUAUAUAAGUUGGCUUCGUUUGCUUUCGAAUUCAUGAGUUGAAAGUUGUCUAUGCAUUGAAGGAAUGUGUAGUAUAUGCUCUUAUAGUCUAAUACUGAACAUUGAAAUGUUUUCCAAACGAUGUAAAACCGCUCAUGUUUGCCAUUUUUCUUUCGAGCAGUUGGAGCAGUGUGGAUUGCGGACUCCUCAGUGUACAAUUCAAGGAAGUAUUGGCAAACCAGACAAUAAAAUGGCUUUGAAGGUACAAAUAUCUCAAAUUGUAGGAUACAAAUUCCUUUUAGCAUUUUGGACCCUUCAAUCCCAAGGGAGGAGUUUAUUUCCGUGGAGCUAUGCUCACUUUCAACAUUAUUUUAGCAUUUUUGAGGAACCAUUAAUCGACCUAUACGAUUGUGCAUUUAACAACAAUUUAUGCUUAUGGUGGGAGAAUACUUUUUAUAAUGUUCACAUACUUUUAUGCAUAACUUGGUCCAACGCUCAAAGAGACCCGCAAAUCUGAUGCCUUUCUGGAUCAAUAUAGGAACUUUACAAAAUAUAAAAUUUGCAAAGAGGAUGAUAUGUUGAUUGCAAAAUCUUUUCCAAAGUCCUAAAAAAGGUUGAGAUGCCUUUUAACCUGUACAUUUCUGAAGAAAUCCUCUUCAGUGUUGUCGACUCCCUUACAGUGGGGUUGAAUGGUAGCUGUUAAGCCUGUUAUCCUGGGGUGCAAGGUUCAACUUCUCAUUUCAUACCUGUGGAAUGCCUUCGGUGGAAGGUGAAAGAAACUAGAAUUGUGGAAUCCAACUACAAGAAGGCAUUUGUAGAAGUUGGAUGCACUGUAGGAAGAACUUUUGUCAUUCAAAAGGAGGUUGUUUUUGCUAAAUUUACCUGAAAAAAGAGAAAGGAGGUCGCUUAACCAAAACUACCUAUAUAUAAAAGGAGGUUUCUACUCAAAGUCAAGAUAUUUUCCUUUUUUUAGGAGCGAGGAAGGGUUGAUCAUUUAGGAAGUUGAAACACUGCUUUGAGAAGCCUCUAGAAGGCAGGAUUGGAGACAGGCAAUCUUAGAGAAAUAAUGGCUACUUAGUACGUGACUUUGGAGUUAUCCAAGAGUUGGAAAAACAUCGAGAAAUGAAGUGGUUACUAGCAUUUAUGGUAAGGAAGAAGUAGUGGUUCACAAAAGCUAGGAAAUGCAUUUUUGUUUUUGUUUUUUUUUUUAAGCCUCCGGUGGAAAAUUACAAAAUUACUUGAUCAUAUAUUGACUUCUCAGUAAUAGAGUUAGGAAAUGAUGAAUGGACUUCUUCCACUUGGAAUCACAUCUGGGUAGGAAAGCACUUGCUGUCUUGUGGCUUCCCUCGAUGUUUUGUAGUGGCCUGGCCCAACCUGAAAAUGUUUAUACUCAGGGCCAAUGCGAAGAUAGUACCAAAUGAUGGAAGCUAGAGGAGGAAAACAAGAGAGAGGUUUGGUUCAAAUUCUGUGUAAUGGUCCAUAGCCUGCUAGUUUGGAGACCAAAGGAGUUGGGGAUUACAUCUUUCAGUAAAAUUGCGGGGAAACACAAUGCUCAAAGAAUCUAAAAUUUCUGCCUAUGGACCAUUGAGUCGUGUAGUAAAUGUUGGUGAUAGAUUGCAACAGCCUGCCUGGUUCUGAAUCGAAGCCAUUGUGGUGUUAUGCAUGAAAGAUGGGGUGGAUCAAACAAACUUUUCCUUCAUUGUUCCACUGGCUCCUUCAAGCCACACAUACACCCAAAAUCUCAUCUUCACUUGAUAUUCUCAUCCCCUCUCAUUCUGGAACUAUGAGAUGUUGCAAGUGUUUUUCAAAUUUUUGUUAUCUUCUCAUUAAUGUACAAGUAAUUUUGUAGCUUUUGGAUUUUUAUUCGAGCUACUAUUCAAUAACUUUCGAACGACGCAUGCAUUGAUUAUAUUUAUGGCAUUGGAAACGUUAUGUUAUUGUUCAGUACUAUCCUCAUAGGAUUGGAUCAACUCUCUAUUAAAUGUUAAAUGCCAUGUUUUUCAGCGGCUUCAUACUACAUGGAGAAAGAGAUUUGGAGAAGACAUUAACGAAGAUCUUCUAUAUAUUGUUGCUGUGGAGAGGGUACUUCAGAUAGAUGACUUUGGGGAGGUACAGACGCCAUUUUCUGCACUUUUUUAAAAUUAAUUUAUUUAAAUGCAAUGUCUAACCACUAAUCAUUGACACUAAUCAUUGACCAGUUUCAAUGCAAUAAAAUGAAGAUAUGUUCGUUUGAAUAUUAUUCUAACAUUUUAUACGAUUUCAGGUUGGUGUUUGGGUAAACUCUUCAGAUUAUAUAACUGCAAGCCCAGAUCCUCUUCGAAAUUGUGCUGAAAAGCUAGUGGACGACAUAAACACAAACAACUCCGAAGAUGUUAAUCGAUUUUGCAACAUAUAUGCUGAUUUGAACUUACAGGUUAGCAUUGAACCUCAUUUAUCUAUACAGUCGCUUCAGCAUCUUAUUUGAUUCUAAACUUAGUAGGAGAUUGGAUUUAACUUUUAGUUUAUUUCUUUUCUAGCCUACUAACAGCAGACGGAGCCUCCUUGAUCUUUUUCUUUUAUUCUUCUGAAAUAUUUAUCAUUCUACAAGGCUAGAGGAAAGGAAACCACGCCUAAUAGAACCAACGUCAUCUGUUCCACCCGUCCCCUCUAAUAGAGUUGACCCCCUCUUCAAUCACAUCAAACUGCAGCUCAGCAACUUCUGAUUUCUAUAAUUUUGCAUCUCAAUACAUUAGCUCUAUAUCUUGAAACCUGACAUUCUUAUAAGCUGAUAACUUUUUGUAUAAUAUGGAUACAAUCCGAACCUUGAAGUAAAACAAAUCAGACUUUAUAAAUCGACUUGCUCAGUUUUGUCGAAUAUCGUUUUCGAGGAAUCUUUAUUGGUGAAUGUUGAAAUGAUGGAGUAUAUGUUUGAAUCUACUGUGGGAUAGAACUUAGAAGUUGGAUUUGAACAUUGCUUCAUUUCUGAGGCGUAAAAGGGUUUUUAUGAUGUAUUAAAAACUUAAAAUGAUACAUUUAUUGAGACUCUUUUCGUGGUCAUGUUUUGUUAUUCCAUUAUUUCAUUUCUUUAAAAAGAGUUUGUUUCCUAUAAAAAAAAGUUACAUGUAUUGAGAAUCUGAGAUAUCUUCUCAAAUAUCUCAAUAUUCUCUCUCACCUCUUGUGCCAUUCUCACUCUUCUUCGUUUUGCUUGACAGUUUACAGAAGCAAAACUGAUCUGGGUAGAUCGGUUAGGCUUCGACGUUCGCAUAUUCUCUCCUCAAAAUGGGAUAUUUGAAAUCCGAAUUCCGUUUCCUAGAGAAGUUACAGAUGAGAAAGGUGCGAAGUCAACAUUUAAUGGCAUGUCCCAACAAGCUUGGGAGGUGGAAAAGAAUUUCGUGGCUCCAGAUUUUGAGAGAGUGAAGCAAUUCAAGAUGAUAAAAUCAUUGCAUAGUGUAGAGUAAAACUUUUAUCAUUUAUGAAAGAGCUUGAGUGUUGCUUUAAGGUGUGAGAAUGAGAAGUUUAGUUAUAAGGUAUGAGAAUGAGAAGCUUAGUUAUGUCAUAACCCAGGGUAGAACUGAAUGAAUAUUCUUGUUUCUUAUAUUCAAUUUUUCUUAGCAAUAUAUUUGAGGUUUGAAAUGUGAUUUUAACGGUCUCUAAGCUCGUUUGACAAAUUUUACUCAGCAAACGUGACAAAUUUUAAAUUACUUUACUAGAGUCUUUAUCGUGGCUCUAUAGAAACCUAAAAAUCUCGUCGACUUUUUUUUCAAUAACAAAUGUGGUUAAAUUUUGGUCAAUAAAAAACAAAACCUGUUUGUAUACCAUUUUGUAACAUUGGUAUGAGAGGAAUUUACUAAAUUGAAUGCUUACAAUAAAACCUACGAAAACCUAAAUUAAUUUUAUUCGAUUUUAUUUAUUAGCCAUAGUAGAUAAUUUAAAUUAAUUUUAAACAAUAAAAAAUCAAUGGUUGGAUUGAAUUAGGUUGAACACUUGAUCGAGUGUUUUCGAGUUAAUCCUAAAAAUUAACUCCAAACGAACUCAGGCAGAAAAGGGCUAAUUAUAAUUAGCACAUAGGGCUAAAUUUUAAAUUUAUCAAAAUUGUAGGAUCAAAUAUACAAUUUAACAAAGGAAAAGAAAAUAAAAUAAUGAAACAGAAAAAAUCGGGGGUUCAAAGAAGCAACUCCACUUGUUCUCCUCGUUCCUUCCACUCAAUCGCGCGCCCUAUCUCAUCGCCGUCGCCGAAAUAGGUACGUUUUCCUUCCACAUUCUUCAUCGAUUGCGCGCGGUUGGCUUUUGCUUCGUCGGACUCCCUCCAGAUCUAGGGUUUGCUCUCUUUGCCGAUCUGUUUACUUUUUGGUUCCUGGGAAAUUAAGGGAUUACUCUAUCAUCUGCUGUUCUUUAAUUUUCCUGGAAACUACAAGGAUUAAUCUUCGUUUUUAUGUUCUGUGUUCGCCCUAACAACUAUCAGGAAAUUACUGGCGGAACUCAAUCUUCUUCAAACGAGCGAGGAAUUUCUUGUUGGGAAUUGGGUAUUUGAACGUUUGAGAUUUUAUACACAUUGAUUUGUUUGGGUAAAGUUUGGUGUGUUGUUAUUGGAAUUUCUUCCAUCUAUCCAAGGUAUUAGAAUGGUGGUGUGAAUUUUGAUGUCGUGGAGGCCUUGGUGGGUUGAUUUGAUUUAGUUUUUCUUUUGGGGGGGAAUUUAAGGGUUUAAUAUCUGCGCAAACCUAAUAAUCGAGGAGAAUUAGGUUUGAUGGCUGAUCGUAAUUUGGUUGUCGCAAAACCAAUCUGGAUGAAGCAGGCUGAAGAGGCUAAACUUAAGAGCGAAGCUGAGAAAGAUGCAGCGGCUAAAGCUGCUUUCGAAGCUACUUUUAAAGGCGUAGAUAAGAUUCCUGCAAAAGAAGCAGCAUCCUCAGAUAGUGAUUUUGAAGAUAAUGAGGAUUUGGAACGCAAGCCAAUUGGGCCUGUGGACCCUGCUAGAUGCACAGCAGCUGGAGCAGGCAUAGCUGGUGGUGCCGCGUGUGUGCCAGCAUCCUUUACUGUGGUAACCAAGGAUGUCGAUGGAAGGAAAGUUCCCCAUGGUGGUGCACUAAUUAAAGUAAAGGUGGCUCCUGGCGUAGGUGUUGGUGGAACCGAGCAAGAUGGCAUUGUGAAGGAUAUGAAUGAUGGUACAUAUACGAUCACUUAUGUGGUGCCAAAAAGAGGAAAUUACAUGGUUAAUAUUGAGUGCAACGGAAGACCCAUCAUGGGUAGUCCAUUCCCAGUGUUCUUUAGUGCAGGUACUCGAUUGCAGUUUUAUUGUCUCUAGUGGUUUAAAGUUUGAUUAAUCUAUUGAGUGCAUAGAAUACCUUAAGUCCUGAAUGUUUCGUGCGAUAGUUAGAAUUAACUAGGAUAGUUUGAUGAUACAAACUUAUUGUAUGAUUAUGCCUCCUCAAUCCCCUGCCCCGUAGUUGUUGUAUGAUUAUGCUUCAUGAAUAUGAAUGAAGGAGUUGGAGAAGAAAGAUAAUGCAUGUGAAUGCCAAUAGAGGGAAAAGAGAAGCUUCUAACUCUGUUAAUUGGAAUGGAUGGGCUGACUGGGGAACCAGGUGGGUGGGCGGUGUGGCAAUGCUCUUUCCCUUCUUUUCAUGUGAUUUUUGUCAUAGUUCUUUAGAUUUAUGGAUCUGAAAGUGAAAUUAAAAUGUACAGGGGGAAGGGGAAAAUAAAUAGUUGGUAUGAAUACUUAUUAGAUGUUGAUAACUUAUUUCCUAGGAUUUCUUGCUUUGCUCUCCCUCAUUUCUAAUCGAAUCAUCCGUUCUAUCCACUUUGCAAUGCAAUGUUAUCUGAUGAUUUGGCAAUUUGUUCUACGUCACCAACCAGGGACAAGUUCAGGUGGACUCCUGGGAUUAGCUCCGGCAUCCUCAUUUCCAAAUUUGGUGAAUCAAAAUAUGCCCAAUAUGCCUAAUUACUCCGGGUCUGUUUCGGGAGCAUUUCCUGGGCUGAUGGGAAUGAUUCCUGGCAUUGUAGCUGGUGCUUCUGGUGGUGCUAUCUUGCCUGGAAUUGGAGCAUCUCUUGGAGAAGUAUGUCGAGAAUACCUUAAUGGUCAGUGCGCGAAAACAGAUUGCAAGUUAAAUCAUCCACCUCACAAUUUGCUCAUGACUGCAAUAGCUGCAACAACCAGUAUGGGAACUAUCAGUCAAGUGCCUAUGGCCCCUUCUGCUGCUGCUAUGGCAGCUGCUCAGGCUAUUGUUGCUGCCCAAGCCCUUCAAGCCCAUGCUGCUCAAGUGCAAGCUCAGCAAGCUCAGUCUGCAAAAGACUCUUCUGGUAUUCUUAGUUUUGGGAUAAUUUAUGCUUCUUUUUUUAUUUUGGUUCCCUUGUGUACUGUCAUUAACUUGUAGACUGCUAAUCUAUAUAUUUUUUCCCUAAUGAGCUUCUGGUUAUUUAUUGAUGUUUCUCUGGCAAGGUUCAUCUGACAAAUCUGGAAAGGCUGCUGAUGCACUGAAGAGAACACUGCAAGUUAGCAAUCUUAGCCCACUUCUCACCGUGGAACAACUGAAGCAGCUUUUUAGUUUUUGUGGAACUGUUGUUGAAUGUACCAUUACUGAUUCAAAGCAUUUUGCUUACAUAGAAUACUCAAAGCCCGAAGAAGCUACUGCAGCUUUGGCAUUGAACAAUAUGGAUGUUGGAGGUCGACCUUUAAAUGUAGAGAUGGCAAAGUCACUUCCACAGAAACCAGCUGCCGCGAACCCUUCACUUGCUUCAUCUUCUCUGCCCAUGAUGAUGCAGCAAGCUGUAGCCAUGCAACAAAUGCAAUUCCAGCAGGCUUUGUUGAUGCAGCAAACUAUGACAGCUCAGCAGGCUGCUAAUCGUGCAGCAACUAUGAAGUCUGCAACAGAGUUGGCAGCAGCUAGAGCAGCAGAAAUAAGCAAAAAACUUAAAGUUGAUGGAAUUGGGAAUGAAGAAACUGAGACAAAAGAAAAAUCAAGGUAUGCUGUACUGAGAUCCCUAAUCCUUCACCCUCAGCUAUAAAUAAAAUAAUUAGCUAAUUCCCUGCCUCUAGCUAUAAAAUAAAAUAGGACAAAGGACCUCAGGGUUCUUGAGUAAAUUCAAGAGUCUUGAAUUUGCAAGCAAUGAGCAUUGGUGGCUUAGCUUAAUUCAUUCCUUUAUUGAAUAAUACCAACCCCAUUAUUCUUUUGAAAUAUACCACAAAUGCAUUUUAUCUUCUCUUUUCACCACAUGUUUGAUUUGGUAGGAAGGAAACUGCUCAUGAACUUGUAUGUAUUUUUCUUGAGUUGUAUGUCAUGUGUAUAAAGUCCAGGUUCUAUCCUCUUUGAAUUUAGUUUGUUUCAUCUUAACAGGUAUAACUUUGAUUUUCCCCUUUUAUUUGUAGAUCGCCUUCCUUGCCCAGGGAGAGGUCAAAAUCCAAAUCAAAAUCACCUAUCAAGUACCGAAGCAGGCGGAGGUCUCCAACUUAUUCACCUCCGUAUCGUCACUCAAGAGAUCAUAGAUCUAGAUCACCAGUGAGAUCUCGCCACUAUUCUAGGUACGAAGACGAUAGGAGGGGUUAUAGAGAAUCGAGAGAAGCGAGUGAAAGAUCUAGAAGGCGUGAUCUAGAUAGAUCAAGAAGUCGUCGUUCACCCAUCUCAAGGAAAAAUAGAAGUAGAAGCAUAAGUCCUCGCAGAAGAAAAUCAUACAGAGCAGGUUCUGAUUCUCCUAGUCACCAACGGGAGCGUUCACCACAAAGAGGUAGGAAAUCAGAUCAUUCUGAUUUAAGGUCACCUAUUCGCCAUCAUGGGAAAAGCAGAUCAUCCCCAAGAAAGGAUGACAGUGACAAACUAAAACAUAGAAGACGGUCAAGGUCUAAAUCUGUCGAGACGAAGCAUCAUUCUGAUGAAAAAAUUAAUGAAAUGCAACAUGGAAAAUUGAAAAAUCGGGAAAGAAGGCGAUCAAGAUCUGCUUCUCUGGAAGACAAGCAUAGUAAAAGAAGACCCUCGCCUAGAAGCCUGGACAAAAACAUUUCUAAACAUAGAAGGCGUUCUAGAUCAAACUCUAGGGAAAAGGUUGAUGAUAAAUAUCAUGGUAGAAGGCGUUCGCGGUCAAGUUCUUCAGAUAGCAAACAUCUCCCUGAUAGUAAGGUGGAUAGCACUAGAUAUGAAAAACUGAAAAAUCGUAGCAGAAGAAGAUCCAGGUCAAAGUCUGUAGAUGGUAAGCAUCGCAGGAGGGAGAAAUCAGAUAGAAGCAGAGACAAAAGGUUGAGGCAUCGUGAUAGAAGGUCAUCCAGAUCUAUAUCUCCUGAGGCUGGACAUCAACGAGUGACCAGGCUGUCUCCUACCAGUUCUGAUGAAACCAAAUCAAAACGUAGAAGGAGAUCACUCUCUCCUGAAGAUAAGCCUAGUGAUAUAGAUAAUGGAUGCAUAGCUGAAAAUCCAAAGAAUCUUGGGAGACAGCAGUCUAGAUCAAAUUCAAUUUCAGGAGAAAAUGGUGAAAGUAAUUUAUCUCCAAGUACAGAGGAAAAUGAAUUUAAACAUGGUGAGCAGUCAAUACUAGAACCUCUAGGAGGUAAGUACAAUUAAAUUAAAGGAUCUAAUAUAUCAAAAUGUGGAUGAACAAUUAAAUAGUUAUGAACAUAUAAACAUUGAUGAAUAUAGAUUAAUGUUUUCAGGGCAUGGAUCUAGUCUCUCAAAGGUUAUAGAAGAUAUACCAGGAGAUGAUAAGGGUAGAGAAGGGUUAACUUCCCAAUAUUCUAAUGUUGAGGAACCAAACAAAACCGAAGUGGCUGGUGUUGAGCAAGUUGAUUUAGCUGGUAAGAUCAGCAAAUGCGUUUCUUUUGGAUUUCCCUUUCCUGAUUGCAAUGAUAUUUACGCAAAUAGGUUCUUGGGUGUUAACACAGGAAGUUAGAGUUUAAUGGAGGUUGUAAUUUUGCAAGUUCUCCUUGGAUAAUGCUGACAGAAGAGGCUCAAUAUCACCUUAAUACAGAUGCAAUUUCUGGUGAUUGACGUUCAGGAGAUGAAGUUACAUUCAAAAUUUGUCAUGGAAAUGCUUUACUGUAACUCAUGAAUCACAUGAUUAGAAGACUGUUGCGGACUUGAAUACCUUGAUAACCUAGGACAAAUUUCAGGCUGGCUUGUUGGCGCAUUCAAGGGCACCCAUUGCUUCAUUUGAGAAAGGACUACUUGAUUGAAGAUUUGUUUCCAUUUCUUUGGGUGCUCAGAAAAUUCUGAUUUUUAGUUUUCAUCCAGCUCUUUUGUCUUUGGUUAUCUUUUGCAGGUUGGCAGGCUAUAGUCUCUUAGACUCUUUCAGUUGAUGUUGGUCUGCUUUAAGCGUUUGAAGUAUUGCUGUCCUUUUGUCUACGAGACAAGACACCCUGAAUCUGUAUCGAGCUUCUUUUACUACUUGAUGUAUGUUUAACUAUGACCUUCUUUUACAUGGUGAAUUUUCGAUAGAAUUGUCUAUUUGAACGAGAAUUGUUAACUUAGGAAUCAAAGUAUGUUGGUAUUUUCUCUUUUAUAUUUUGUUUUUUGUUUUUGGGUGCUGAAAGGCUAACCAUGGUUGGGACUAAAGAGUUGAUCUCAUUUUGAGUUCCAAGUUAAUAUUUCCUAGGGUUCCUCCUAUACACAAUCAAAAUACCUCUUGUUUUAGGCUAGAAUUUUUAGUGCUCACACUAGAAGUUCUUUUGAUGUAGCCGCUGCAUGGGUUUCAUUUUAAUAUCCAUUUGAAUGGGCGUUGGACCUGUUCUAUCCAAUAUACAUGCAGGUUAUUCGGGGUGAUUGUCAUUGGAGGUUUGUCAGGGUUGAUUUUCUCUUGUUUACACGAAGGUAUGCUUUUGCAGUGGGAAGUUAUUAACAGCAACCUUCCAUUUAACUCCUGGAUCAUUUACACGAUGAUUAGUAUAUUUUGGAACAUUAUUCUUUUUUUUACGCAGUACAAUUUGCUCUGGUGCUGUUGUCUUCUUCCCUCAUAUCUCUUCUUUCUUCUUUCUUUUUUUUUUUUUCCUUUUUUUCCUCUUUCCUCUUUUCCUCCAAUCUCCAAAAUUUUAUUUCGUUAGGCAAAGGUAUCAUUAAAGGUCGGUUGAAACCAGAUGUUGCUGAGAUAAAUUGCAUCAAAAUUUCCUCCUUCUGGGUAUGAUCAGAAUGGCUGACUCACUUGGAAGCAUUUUAUUCACGGUGAAUUGCAAAUAUAUAUAUGGCAGGUAAUCUUGUAUGCAACUGCUUGGUUGAAGAUAUUUAUAGGGGAAUCUAUAGGUUUGGACUCCAUUAUUUUGGUGGAUUUGUUCAUAAAAAUAAAAUAAAAUAAAAUAAGCGGUAUAUGAUCAAAGUGAACCUUUUACUCACAAUGGUGACUUCUUUGAGGGGAUAGGAAAGUGCAUGUUGGACAAUGAGUCUACGAUGCUACUCUUAAUGGCUACAGGUUUUCUUUUCUUUUAAUAACUUCUUUUGUAGCUCUGAUGUCUUUGACUAAUAAAUAGUACUCCUGAGUUUAAAAAGUAACCAUCCUGAUCCAUGAAAUUGAUUGUUGAUUGUUUGUGGGAGAAUAUUAGUAUAAGCUACACAAAUGGUGUAUCUGAUUGCUGGUUGCUUGUAGUGUAGUAGUGAUAGAUAUUGGUUUGGGUAAUAACAUAAUGUUUAGUCAUUUUCUCUCCUCCCACUCCACUUCUCCUGGUCUUUCCUUUUCAAGUAAUUUCUUGGUAGGAUAACCUGCAAAACGACGGUAUGAGAGCUGCAGUCUUUGAUUUCGAACUCGGGUUGCGACUUGGAUGAGGUGGAUGUCAAUGUCUUAGUUUGUGCUCGGUCUAAUGUUUCUGAAGGAACUGAGAACCAAGCUAUAGUGUGUUGAACCUCACAGCUUGUGUCUUCAUCAUGUUUAUGUCAACCUGGCUAGGAUAGGUUAGAAUUUUUUGCAUCAAUUUUGAAUAGUUGGGAUUAAAGAAAUCCAGAUUCUUUCUUGUUCUGGAUUGAUUAAAUUUGAGAUUUAUAAACUAGUUUUCAUUUUACAUUUAAUUUCUUAAAGCAAUGUUUAGCUUCAGGAAUGCUUCUGAUGCCAAUAUUUGUGUCAUUACUACCAAUAGCCAAAUCUAGCAAACAAAUCAAAGUACUUCUCUUUCAUCUCUGUUUAAAAUUUCCGAAGAACAUUGAAAAUAACCUCUAAAUGCUUACUGUUUAUGCGUUUUUUUUUUUUUGUUAUGUUUUUCUUUUUUAUUUAUUACUAUUUCUCUGCAGUUUGAGUUUUUGAUUCUUUGACUGAAUCUUUUUUAAUGAAUUGGUAAUUGUUGGAUGGAUUGUUUAUAUCUCAUCCUUUUUUCCGUGAUUCCAUCCAUCUUCUAAAUGUAAAUAAUUUUUGGUCUUAGGCCUCUAGAUUCUUUCAACAUUUUUACUAUUUUUACUGUUGAAAUUCUUAUGGGAGACCUUUUUGAUGGCCCUAAUAUGUCAUCUAAAUAACCUCAAAUCCUAUCUAUGGAAGAUUAAGAUCUUUCUUUGGGAGUUUCUGUCAGAGUUUGGUGUUUGUUUUCAUGGCGAAUGCCUUAAUUAACGAUCUUUCUCUAUUUUGAUGUAUUGUGUGUGCAAUGAGCUUUGAGAUUUUGAAUCACUCUUUUGUGCUCGUUGAUCCUGUGUUGCCAUAUAUUGAAAAACGGUUCUUGGAUCCCUUCGUGUGGUUGAUGAAAAUUAGUUAAUAAAUUUUGUUUCUCUUUUAAAAAAAAAGAAAAGUUAAUAACUAAUCUUCAACAUACCAUUCUCUCAUUUGGGUAUGGCCUUUUUUUCUCCUUCUAAACCUCUAGUGACGAUGGGUUCAUCUUACAAAAAGUGGGAAGAAAAAAAAUUACUCGAUGUUAAAUCAUAAUAUUGUUUUAGUUGCAUUAUUGCAUGAUUUUCUUGUGACACUAAAAUUCUUAAUUCAUCAAUUAAUGUUUUAAAGUUAAAAUGAUAUUAGCAUGCUUUGCAAUAGGAAAUUUUCGCCUUUAAAGCUCUACUUAACUAUUAUAUUUGACAUUAUUGGAUUACAAAAUUUAUUUUGUUCACGAGUAUUUUAAUGCUACGAAUGUUACCAUAUCGUUUGAUGAUAUUGAUAUGCCUUAAUAAAUUGUAGGGAUUUUCGGUCUUUAAAAUUCGAAUUAACUGUUUUUGCACGUUAUUAAAUCACAACAUUUAAUAUUAGGGGAAUGGUAAAAGAUAAUAAAUUUGAUAAAAUGUUUUAAUAAAUUGUAGGAAUUUCGGUCUUUAAAUUUCGAAUUAAUUGUUUUUGCACAUUAUUAUAUCACACUAUUUAAUAUUAGGGAAAUGGUAAAAAAUAAUAAAUUUGAUGAAAUAUUUAUGAACAAAAAUUAUAACUUCAAAGUAUUUUAAUUUAUUUUUCUAAAAAUGCUUAAUAAUAAUUAAUAAUGAAUUUGGAAAUUUUCGUCUUUAUAACUCCACUCUACUUUUUUUUUAUAUACUAUUAGGUUACAAUAUAUAUAUUUGAUUUCUUUAUUAUAAGAUAACGAUAAUAAACGUUUUUUUAAGAGUAACAAAUGUUAUUGACUAACAAGAAAUAAAUGAAUAAUAAAGGCUCUAAAUUAAUUAUUUCAAAGGGGCAUUUUUUACAAACGAUAGUAAAACCACGGAGGCUACUUAGCUAUUAUAUUUAAUUUUUUGGUUAUAAAUAACUCUUCUAAUUUUCAGUUACUUUCUAUAAUAAAAUUACAUCUUACAGACUACAUUUAAUUUGAAUCGAGAUUAAUUAAUUAUGAGCUAAAUAUUGAAAUUUUAGAAUAUUUUUUAUAAAAAAAACUAUUAAUUUAUAUAUUUAUAAUAAUUGAAUUAUCUCCUAUGUUAUGUUAGGUUAAGUUCAACUAUGAUAAAUAUAUUAUAACUUAUUAGAGAAGCUUUCAUUUUAUCAUUAUAGGAUCAAUUUAAACAUGUCGGAGCUUCAUAUUGUUUCACUCACCUAUCAUAUAUACAUGUAAAAUUCAACGAAAAAAAUUCUAAUGUUAGAUCUCAAACGUGAAAGAUGAAAAUUGUUUACUACUUUUUAGAACAAAGAUGAUCAUAUCCUUAACAUGAUUCAAAAUAUCGUUAAAAAGAAAAACAGAUGGAUGAAAAGAUUGGUGCACGCCCAGUGGGACUCGAACCCACAAUCGCCUGAUUAGAAGUCAGACGCCUUAUCCAUUAGGCCAUGGGCGCUUGCAUCCUUUCAUAUUCACAUGAGAUGUUCUUAAAAAACUUGUUGAUAUUUUUCUUCUUAAGAUCCAAAUAAGGAGGGAGGAUGAGUGGAUGGAUUUAAACCUUUGUUUUAAGAAUUAUCUAUAUAUGGCAACACAGGAUUGUUAAAUCUUAUAAGCCAGAUUGAUACAAAAGGCAAUCAAAACUCUAAAAUUGUUGCAUUCUAACACAACCACUAACAACUUUAUAAAUCUAAUGUGCUAAUUAGUAAUCGCCAACAACUUUUAAGAAAUUGUUAGCAUUUAAAUCGAAUAAACAAAAUUGAAUUGUUGGUUUAGACAAUUGUUUUUAGUUCAACAAUUAAGUCAUCAAUAACAUUUGAAAUGAUAAUUGAUUUCUUAUUCAUCAAAUUAAAGUAAACAAUAUUUAUAUAAACAAACAUUUUACACCCAUAUUGUCAAAUCUCAUCUAACCCUUCAAACAAACCUUUUACAUGCACAUUGACAAAUCUCAUCUAACCCUACAACCAUUAGGUAUUAAACAAACUAGUAGAUUGAUAUAAAUUAAACUUAUACACUUUAUUUUAUUAAACUUUUGACCACGUUUCGAUCAUCAUGUCAAAUCCAUACCGACACACAUUUGAAAAUUUGUUUUUAAGAUUGGAUUGAUAUCCCAUUGAAAACCUAAACGUCCAAUUUUCAUACCAAUGUGUAUAUAACUAACGAUAUAUUUUCAAAUGUCUAAGUUGUAGAGGAAGUUUGAAUUCCCACCCAAAUUAUAGAGAGAAGCGAAACGGGGUCGUAGUUUCUUUCAGUUUCGUUGCAAUAAAUAACAAAGAUAGCAAGACGUAACUGCAAAAGAAACGCGGGAUUCGGUGGCGGAAGUUUUAAAUUGUGGACAAUAUUUUUUUUUUUAUCAAAUUAAAAUAACCAUUUAAUAAUAAUAAUGAUGGUGAUGAUGAUAAUAAUAAAAGGAAAAAGAAAACAAAAAUGUAACGGACUCACCGUUCGCCACUUAGCGCUCCCAAUUCCCACAUUCCCUUUCUCUCUCUCUCUUCUCCUUUUUCCCUCCGUUUCAUUUCCAUUCGCUUUCCGAUCCGAUUCGUUCCUUCUUCGAUCUCCAGCUUCAAAAUCCAUCAGCAAUUGAUGUUAUGAAGGUCAGGUUUCCGCCAUUUUCUGUGUGUCUGCAGUUAUCUUUUAAUUCUAUUCACAAUCAUAACAUUAAUUUCAUAUAUAUAGAUAUAUCUAUAAUAACAAUGCAUUAUUCGUUGUUUUUUCUUUCUCCGUAAUGCAAUUUCUUGAUGUUCAAUCCUUCGCAGGAACUAACCGGUUCGUCUAUUUCGGCAUUGAAAGAUUAUCUCUGAUUAUCUUUCUUUUCCGUUUCUAUAAGCUAUGGGAUUAUCUUCCGAUAACAUCCAUGGCCUCAUUCUUGCUGUCUCUUCCAGUAUCUUCAUAGGUAGUAGCUUCAUUAUCAAGAAGAAAGGUCUUAUGAAAGCCGGUGCUUCUGGAACCAGAGCAGGUUUGGUUGAACGUUUUUAUUAAUCCUCUUUUUGGAAUAAUUUCGAUUUAAUUAAUGGUUGAAUUUCGUGUUUGUGUAAAAGUUGAAGCGAUUAAGUUCGUGAUUUAACGUAGGGCUUUGUAUGUAGUUAGAACCGAUGUUUUGAUAAUUUGUAGAUUUUAGUUGUAUUUCUUCUUGUUUUAUUGAACUUGUUUUCAUGUGACCAGGUUCUGGAGGAUAUUCGUAUUUGUAUGAACCUAUGUGGUGGGCUGGGAUGAUAAGUAGUAAGUUUCUUCUUCAUUCAUUUCGUUUCUUAUUCAUAUUGUUAUCACGUUCAAACCUCGAAUUGCUAAAACUAGCCGCCGUUCUCAAGAAAGCAUUACCACAUGCACUAGCACUUGAACUUGAAUUUUUGUUUGAUGAAUUUUCAAACUCUGCUCGUGUGUGUUUGUUUAAUCUCUUUUUUUUUUUCCAGUUGAUUCCUCUUUUGAGUGUUUCUUUCUCCGAAUUCAAGUAGUUAAUUAAGAUUUAGGAAGUCGAAGAAUUCUUAUCUAUGAAUAUGAAUACUUCAAGUUACAAGGUACAAACUAGUUGCCGCUGCUUUUCUCUUUGGAAUUAUGAGUAUCUCUAAUUUUGCCAUAUUUAGGAGCUCAAGUAUGCCUCUCUGCAUUGACAUUUCUCUUGUUUUCCUCCUCCAUUAUUGCAUUUGUCCAAACAGAAUCAUAUGUUUAUUCUCAAUUACCAAGAGUAGUUCAUGUAUAAAAUGUAAUAGGUAAUUUCAUUUUCCUUUCGGAGCUAUACUGUUUUGUAUAGAUCAUAGAUCAUAAUCAUUCAUAGAAUUUCUUUCCAUAACCUACAUGUUUCGUAAUGAUUAUGAAAUGGAACAAUUACUUUUAUCAUUUUUAAUAUCACCUCUCAAUAUCAAUUUUAAUGAUAUAAAAAUUGCACUUAAAUGUGUAAUAUAAAAUAUUAAAUUAAAUUUAAGUGAUUUUAUUUAGACAUGACAAAAGUGAUUUUAACCAUUUCAAAAUUACUUCCACACAUGCCUUAAAUCACCUUCUUGAGUUGAGUUGCAUACUAUUGAAAAGAGUGAUUUAGAGUUGGAUAACUGUUGCAGCAUUUGCAUAUCACAAUAAAAGCAGGUUCAUAAGUAACAGAGGCUGAGAUGUUAUAUUAGUUUGCUUUGAAUAAUAAUGUUCUUACUAACAAUCAUCAGUUUAUUUGAUUUUGUGCAGUGAUUGUUGGAGAAGUUGCUAAUUUCGCUGCCUAUGCUUAUGCUCCUGCAAUUCUCGUAACUCCUUUGGGAGCUUUAAGUAUAAUUUUCAGGUAUAUAACAAUUUAACACUCAUAUAUUACUUUUGAAACAUUAUACAUCUAUUAUCCAUGUAUUAUGCAUAAGAUGGAAGGUCUGACGUUAAUCUUAGUAAAUCGAUAUCUCACAUAAUAUACAUCUAUAUGUUAUACUAAUGACAGCCAGGUUUGGAAGUAAUUAAAUCACAGCUUACUUGCCCAUAUAUUAUUGUCAAUAUUGAUAAUACUUAAUUAAUAUGUAGAUGCAUAUAUACUUGUGGUACUUAACGUACUUGGUGCUAAUGUGUGGGAAUGUAUUGAUGAGAGUAGUAAGCAUGUUUGGAGUUUUGAGUAAUAUAAUGAAACGACACCGUUUUGCAGUGCAGUACUAGCUCAUUUCAUUUUAGAGGAAAGGCUACAUAUAUUCGGCAUGCUCGGAUGUGUUCUGUGUGUGGUGGGAUCAACAACUAUUGUUUUGCAUGCUCCUCAGGAGAGAAAUAUUGAAUCUGUCAAGGAAGUUUGGGUGCUUGCUACGGAGCCAGGUUUCUCAAUUCCUUCCACCCUAUAUAUAUAUAUAUUAUAUUUUCAUGCUUUUAAUUCAAACCUUGAAUGUGCUUAUAUAGUUUAUACAAACAGUAGACUUCAAGUAUAUACUAGUUUUCUCUCUCUCUAAUUAGCUAGUUUUGAUUGAAUGAGGAAAUCGGGGGUAUUUUAACUUUUCAAGUAAGGAAAAUAGCAUCAUUCUUUUUUAUCUUAUUAUUUAUCAAAUUUUACCAUGAACUUUUAACUUCAUUCCUGUGCACCCUAAACUUUGACAAUCAUUGUAAAAUAUAGUAAAAUGAAUCAAAAUAUUUUCAGAUAUUACAAAAUUUUACUGUUUAUCAACUAUAUAUCGCGUCUACUAUGUAUGUUAUGACAUUUUGUUAUCUUUUGUAAAUAUAUAUUUUAGUAGAUUUGUCAUUUAAAAAAAUUUACUUGUUUUCUUUAGUUACUACUUGGCAAUAUCUUUUACAAUCAACUUCAAGUGUUGGGAAAGAAUGUUUCUUUUACUCCAAAAAGAAUGUGAAUGAAAAUAUUUCCAUAAUCUUAUAAUUAAUCAAUAUAUAUAUAUAUAAUAUAUAUAUAUAUAUAUAUAUAAUACAAUAUAACAUGCGACUAAUGAAGCUUUUAUUGAAAUUUAUGGUUGAAUGAAUUUAAUCUCAGUGUUGAUGGAUUUAAACUAAUAAACUUUGGGUUAUUAACAGGUUUUAUAGUAUACUUGGUGAUAGUUUUGGUUCUAGUUGUUGUUCUGAUUGUUCGAUAUGUGCCAAGAUACGGACAAACCCACAUGGUUGUUUACGUCGGAAUUUGCUCUCUCAUGGGUUCUCUAACGGUUUGUUCUCAUAAAACUAUAUGAUUUCUACGUCUUUUUAAUUAAAUAAGUUUUUGAAUUUAAUUAAUUAAUUAAUUAAUUUUUGUGUAGGUUAUGAGCGUCAAAGCAGUAGGAAUUGCACUUAAGCUCACAUUUUCAGGGAUGAAUCAGUUUAAGUACUUUGAGACGUGGGUUUUUACCGUCAUUGUGACUGGAGGUAGCAUUUUACAAGUCAACUAUUUAAACAAGGUAAAAAUAAUCUAUUCAACUCCAACCCUCUCUCUCUCUCUCUCUCUCUCUCUCUCUCUCUCUCAUAUAUAUAUAUAUAACAUUAUAGUUGUGGUAUAUUUGUUUAAUUAAAAAGAUAUAAAACUAAUUAAAUGCUUAACCCAACGCCCUUCAUGAAAAAUCUAUUAGAAAAAAUUAGUGGAAAACCAAAAUUAAUUUAAUUCUUUUUAAAUUAAUUAAUAGAUAUUCACCUCGAGCAUUUAACAAAAAAAAAAAUCUUAGUUUGUAGAAAGUGUUUUUUUUUAUAUCUGUCAGUAUUCGAACCGACAGCCCUCGUCAAGUUGAGAGUUUUUUUUACCUAAACUAUAACAUUUUUAUUCCAAAAUAAUUUAAGAGAUAAUGGUUGAUGUACCGUACCAAUCUUAAUUUUCGAAGCAAUUGAUAUACAUACAUAUAUAGUACCAAUCAAAUGUGGGGAUUGUAUUGCAUAAUUUAUUUAUCACGUUAUUUUGUAUUAUUUCUAUCUUAUUGUAUAGAUUGAUUAUGAUAUCAGCUUUCGUUUCCUAAUAAUAUUAAUAAAGUUGGUAUCGCGAGAGAAGUGAAUCUAUGUUAUAAAUCAUGCAGGCUCUGGACACCUUUAACACUGCCGUAGUAUCUCCAGUUUACUAUGUGAUGUUCACAUCGCUCACCAUCCUUGCCAGUAUGAUUAUGUUUAAGGUAAUUUAUAUCACAUUUAUUCUUUCCCUAAAUUCCUCUUAUCUGCCCUGAUUGGCUUUUUAUUUUACCUACAGGACUGGGAUUCACAAAAUGCAUCACAAAUUGCAACAGAACUAUGCGGUUUUGUUACUAUUCUUUCCGGAACUUUUCUCCUACAUAAAACUAGGGAUAUGGGGAGUUCUCCAUCCUCCGAUGUCCCAAUUGUCGUUAGGUCCCCGAAACGGCCUAAUUCAAACACAAAUUCUGACUAACAAACACCCCCAGCAGCGUAGCAAAUUUUAAAAAAAUAAUAAUAAUAACAAAAGAAGAAGACUUGUUUAGAAAAAAAAAAUUGUAAAUUUUCUCUUAUCAUCCAAAGAGGUGGCCAUUGCUGGGGGGAGGACAGAUUUUUGGAUGGAAGAUUCUUAAUUUAUUGUAAGAAAGAAGCAAACCUGGUGGGCACAAUAUUAGCAAAGGCAAAUGGAGUUUGAAGGUUUGUUUGGUUCUCACUUUUCAUCUUUGAGGUACAGAUUCAAUUUUUUAUUUUUUUAUUUUUUUUUACAAAAAGAAAGAAAGAAUCAAAAAAGAAAAAGCCAUACGAUAUACGUUACAGGUUGUGAUAAACAAAGGGAUAAGGUACUGAAUAGAAGUUUACUAUAGCGCUAACAUUUGAAGAUACAUUGUAAAAUUGUAGGGUUUGGGAGAUUUCUAUAUAACCAAUCAAUGUUCUUCUCUUUCUCCAACAUUUAGUCUUGGUUUUUGAUGAUUCAACAAUUGUAAUUGUUUUCGCAGAAAGAUUAAGUUUUGUAUCAAGUCAGUAAUUUGACUGUUGUGCUUGAUACACUACCAAUGAUAUAAACGAGCCUGAUGUUAUAUCUUGUUUAUAGUCUCCUUUUAUUUUUACUUGCAACUUGUGAUGUAAAUUAUUCUAAAAAUUGGAUCCUUGAAGCUCGUGAGCAUUAUGUAAAUCUAAAUCAGAGGUUAUGUUAAGUUAGUCUACGGUCUCAAAUUCUAGGCUUUAGAUUGAAAACUUAUUGAUAGACAAGGUUACUCUUGACCUUUUAAAAAAACAACAAAACUAUUGUUGAAGUAGAAUUCCUUUGAAAUAUUGAAUGAAAAUUGGGGCCUAAAAUUGUGUGGUGGUGACCUAAAAAAACAAAUUCGCCCAUUCUAGGUCUCAACUUCUAUCUAUAAUUCAGGGGUAAGGUGUCUUAUAUAUGCAUGGAAAAUUAAUUUAAAUGAUAACUUCCGAAAAUAUUUAAAAAUUUCAUAAUCUAUUAUAGUAGUAGAUCACAAAUAGUAUCAAAGAUUUUGGUUCAUUUGAUUUUUUUUUUAAAUACUUCUAUUUAGAUGUGUAUCGCCUUAAGUUGAGACCUAGGUGUCUUUCCAUUAUAAAAAAAUAAUAAAUAAAUAAACGAGUUUUUAGUCUAUACAGACAAAAGGAAUAUAUAAGCUAAAAUUUUCAGCAUGAAAAUUCAUCAGAAACAACUUUACAGGACAGUUAUAAGAAGUAGAUAGAAUAUAGAAACCUGAAUCGCUUGAUGAAGAGCCAAAGGUUUUAACCACUGUCAGCUUGGAGUUCUAAAUGCAUCUGCUCCUUCAAUAUUUUCUCAACAGCGUCUGCAAAGCUUGAUAGAUUUCGGCGAAUAUGAGCGUCCAAGGAAUUUGCCAUUUUCUGAAGGAUUCAAACAUAAUCAGAAAGAUGCAUAUAACACAUAAUGUCCCAAUGACAUCCAUUAUAUAUGUAGACUGAUUUGAUCCAGUUAGCUUUUGGCAGACAUGAGAUGUUACCAAUAGACCUUUUCAGGUAUCAAUAAUAAAAAUAAAAAAGGAUAAAAAGGAAAACGAGAGCCAUCUUACCUCCACCUUGCAAAUGAGGCUUAAAGAAACUCCUUUUGUAUAAUGAUCUGAGCUCUUGAGUGAAAUAAGUUUCAAAGGAGAAUCGGCUAAUGGCCAACCUUGAGACACCUUAAUACACGCAUCAAUCCCUCCAAUCAUACUACACAUUAUCAUUUCGUCUUGAUCCAAAUACUCAAAGGAAUGACUGCAUGAAAAGUAAGUACUUCAGUCUCAACAAUUAAUAAAAGAUAGAAAUUACGUUAUUUUAAGUCAAAAUUGAUGUGCAUUCCCCAUCCAAUUGACCAAUUCCUGUAGGGAGAUGGACACAAGAAGAGGGGGAAAUCCCUACGAUUUAUUUAUACAUUAACUUUACUUAUACAAGAGAUCUGAAAAUUUUACGAGACUCACCAUGAUUUGUUUGCACUCUUCACAGCAAACCGCCUAAGAGUACACAAAACAAUCCUAUCUUGUACUUUUCUUACAAACCAUUCCAAUGAAGAAUUGCUGCUCAUGCAAAACCAAUGAAUGGGUCAGAUAAAUUGCUCAGUUCCAUAAGUGGAAAAUUAUUGCAAAAUUGUAGCCAAAUCAUUCCAACUACGGAUAAAUAGAUCUGAUGUCAUUAUAUGAUAUUUAUCGCAGCUAGAUAUGCUUAAUUAAACUGCUGCAUGGUUCCAUUAACGUUAUUCUCUCUCUAUCUGUGUGAAAAUAAGGCUACUUAGUAACAGCUCAAAUAGCUUGAUUCCAAUUCCAACCGACCAAAAGAGUUCAAAUAGUAGCCAAAUCACUACAAUUUAAGAAACAGAAUCUUUCCGGUUUCUCCCAAUUCUUCUUGACUACAAUGGAACCAAGUGCAUAAAGGAAUCUUAUAGGGAACAUACCUGAUUGACUUUGAAGCAUUGAUGAUAUCGUGCAAGUGGACAUCAGCAGGAAAGAUCUGUGCAAAUUACUAAUGAAUCAAGCCACUUCAACAGAGAUUACAUAAAAGAAAGAUAAAGAGGUGCCAACAGAUGGAAUCACUUUUUAAAUUCUAAUAAUGAUUAGACCAAGAUAGCCACGGAUACAAUUAAUUGUGGUACUCAACGAAAUAUACCUCAGCAUUCUUUAACUCCAUUGUCCCAUCCAAAACUUCUAUUAUCAACUCGUGAUCCAAUUCAGAUUUCUCAAUCAAACCUUCAAGUCUUUGUAAAGUUGAAAAAUCUUCCACGUUUGGAAUAUGUGUAUGUAAUGACAAUCUAAUGGAAUUAUCAGCGACGUCAAUGACCUUCAUACCACCAAUUGUGCCCUCAACCUGCUCAAUAACAUCCAAACUAAAAGGAGAGAAUUAGGAGGGAGGAUGAGAGAGAGAAAUCGUUGGUAUUAAAUUGAUAGCACAUUUCGUGAGAUAUAAUUCAUGUGAACUAUAACUUGAUUGUUGUUACUUUUGCGAUAAUCAUGUCCGAUUUGUGCAUAUAUAAUUUUAUUCUCUAUGAAUAAAACAAUGAAGGAGAGAUGAAGAUCUAGACUCUAUAAAGAUAUUUGGAGAAAAUCAGAAUCUCUGUGCGAGAAGAAUACCAUACAAAGAUAGGAGCCUAAUACCCGAGGGAAUAGCACCUAGGUGCUUGUCGCGAAAAUGUGGUGCUACAGCAGAACAAAGAAAAAACAAGAAAAUGGUGCUACCACAAGGCAUAAAUGUCAUGGCAUGGCGCUCCGAACUUCUAAUUUCCCUCGUCUACCUACAAUGCCAUGGCAAUAGCAUAACCCAUUUUAUAACCCAUUUGAUUGUGUAGCGCUAAACAUGAAUAGCUAAACUUUUAGCUCUUAGGGACUGAUGACCUCCAAAUUUUAUAGAUCAAUUUCUUAUUACUCUUGAUUGAAUCAACUUGGUUGUCUUAUUAAUGUUUCUCUAUUGUUCAUGCUCCUAAUUUACGGAUCAUAGGUUAAUUGAUCUUAGAUUAAAAAUCUUAAGCUCAGGAGACUCAAGUUAGAGACAUAACCGAGUUGCAUAACUGAAGGUGGUUUUAAGAUCAAGAGAUUUAAAUAUAACAAUUCACAUCUCAAAACACAACUUACCUUUUAAAUAUCUCAUCUACUUCCUGCAAAGAUUUUAGAAUUUUUUUGUUCUUCUCGAUCUGACUUUCAAGUUCCAAAACCUGGAAGAAGCAUAAACAGUUUCAUAAAAUAGUUGAUGAUUGUAAGCCUUGUAUAUAUGAAUGGGUAAAAGAAGAACCACUUCAGAACAAGUCAAACCACAUAUAGUUUGUCAUUGAGAUACAAAGUCAUGGUUGAAACAGUUAAUGAAACCUAUUGAUCCUUCGUUUGUUUUGCUUCUAUGCAAUAUUCAUGUGUACUUUUAAUCUUCGUAUAAUUUUUAUUAUCUUGAUGAAAUUCUCGUUUCCUUUAAAAAAAAAAAAAACAGUUAGUGAAACCAUGCAUUUUAAUUCAGCAUCAUUAAAUUGCACGCUCCCUAGGAACUUACUUAUAAUUGAUAGGGAACAUAUGACCACCAAAAAUAAAGUCAGAAGCAAUAAAGUGAUAGAACGAACCUCAAAUGCAUUGCAUUCACGGUUGACUAUCACGUUCAUCGGAUCUUCGCCAUUCAUAGAGCUGCAAUUAAAUGUGGCCUCUUCAGGAUCCUACAAGAUUGUAAAUUGUAAUGAUAACAUGGUGGCAGACAGUCUCAUUUGGAGAAGAACCUUUUGAUUAGGCGUAUAAACAAGUUAAGCUAAUCAUACGUUAGGCCAAACAAAAUUGACAAAAUCAAACCACAGAAUCAAAUUGAAAAUAAGGUAAUCGUUGGAAGGAGGGGGAAAAAAGCAGAGAGAGAGAGAGAGAGAGAGAGAGAGAGAGACAUGUAGACCAAAACAAAGCAUUGGCAGUAAUGCCUAGAGAAACGUUUGCAAAAUAUCUUAUCCGAUAUGUUAAAGAAUCUAUUUUCUUUUUUUUUUUUUACAUACUGACAAAUCAAACCACUUAAAUAACUGAAGGAGCAAACCUACUAAAUAGUACAGCUUCGGUGAAAAAAAUUAAGGUGUUAGAUUUCCUAGAACUUCCUCCGUCUGGUUUUUGUCCUUAUUCCUCAUUCGCCUAAUUAUUGAAACGAAUACAAGCCAACCACCUUCCAUAGUUGGAAUUACUUGAUGUCUUUUUUCAACAUUAGCAUUGCAACUUUCAAGAAAAAUAUGCAUCAAAGCAUGGUCUCCAUCAUCUCAACCUAAUUAAGUAACUGUUGGUAUAGUAAAAAUUUGUUUGCAAUAGAAACCAACCUGUGAAGGAAAACGAUCUAACGACAGUUUCAAUACUUCAAGAUCCAUCUUCAAUUUAUUAGAAUCUGUAAAUGAAAGCCAAAGGAGGACGUCAACACAAAUAGGAGGCUGAAAGGUAUAAAUCAAAACAUAAACGGAGAGACUGCCUUCUAUAUUGGUUCUCUUAAGAACCUCGAUCUCAUUGGAUAUUUUGCUGCUUUCAGCUUCCACCGCGACAAGUUCCUCUUUCAUAUGUUCGACAUAUGCAUCUACAUAUAGACUCAACAAAUUACGAAGGAAAAAACAUUGGAGAGAUGGAUCAGAAAGCAGGAAAGGAAUGUAAGUCGUUAAUUUAGUAAGUAGCUGAGAUGAAGGAAAGAACAUCUAACACAAUGGAGAACGAAAUUCUGAAAUGCACAUACAUAAAUGCAUUCAAACCUUAAGAAAUAUAAAAGUAAGCUUAAUAUGUUACCUAGAUCGUCAAUCCCCAAGAAACUAUCAACGUUAGAGUAUUCGGACAGAACCUGCUGUAUUCUGCUCUGCACAUUCAAAAAAAAAAGAGCCACACAUUUCUCUUAACACAAAAGGCCCGGAUAGAGAAAAGUAAGAUAAACUGCAGUAGAAAACCUCGAGAUGGAGAGCACACUCCCUCAGUAACUUCUCAGAACCUAAUGAAUCCGUCGUAGACUCUUCGUUUUCCUCCAAAGAUCUCUGCAGCUCUUCCAGCUCGCUGAUACAAAAAUGGCGUCGAUUAUACGUUGUUACACAUAAUUAGGACUCACAGAAGCAAGACAGAGAGAAACCUGCGAACUGCUUGGAGAUCGAGGCUUGGAGGUACAGACGGUGUAGCUUCCAUCGAUUCCGGCAUCAUUUUCCUCCUUAUUCUGCCUGAGUUUGCACGGAACCGAGAGAGAUUCUGAUUCUCCGCGUUGUUCGUCUGUACAAAAAUUCAAAACGAUGAAGAAGUAGAGAGAAAUUUCAGUUCUCCCAUGGCCAUGGCAGCUUAUUUGGACCAAACCCGAAAAUGGAGGCCGAGCGCUUGAAUAUGGGCUUCGCCUUGCAAGAUUUAGCCCGCGAAAUUGAGAGGCGAAAGGGUUUUUCAAAAUAUAUGUGAUGAAUAUUUUAGAAGUUUUUCUUUCUAUUUUUACCCUAAAUUUGUUAGAUUAUUGCAAUUUUCAACCUAAAAUUAUUGUUUUCUUCAAAAUUUGCUCUAAAUUUAUAUCUUUUACAAUUUCUACCCUUUUUUCGAUCGUCGCGUAUCCUCCAACACAUUUAACAAAAUAUACUCCUUAAUUUCAAUAAUAUAUAGUUUUACAUAAAUUAUGAUCUGAUUAAUGCACAAACUAUAGGUUAUAAAUUUUUUUAACCACAUUAGUUUUUAUUUCUGGUUUAAUUCUUAUAGAUAGCAAAUAAUUAAAACUAUUUUCAAAAUAUAAUAAAAAAAUAAAUUUUAUAUUUUUCUUACUUUUAUAUCAUGAAUUUUAAUAAAUCAUUUAAAUACAUAUGAAUAUAAAUAUUUUUUUGAUCGAUUAUUCAUUUUUUUAACUCAAGUUUGAGUGUAAUCUUAAUUUUUUUUGAAUUAGACUCUUCUAGGCUUUUUAUUUUUAUUCUUUUAGUACAAUUAAGAUGAAAAACCAACAAAUAAUGAAAAGUAUGAGACACUUAAACUUCAAAUAGGUGAAGAUUGAAGAGUGAUUAUUUAUUUGUACUACUUUCAAAUUCAAAUAAUCAAACUGGUUGAAAAUAUUAAAUUAAAACUACUUUAACAACAAUUUCAUCUUAAACGUUCUUUACGAAGUUUACGUUUUCUAAAGAACGUGAAAAGAAGAAACAAAAAGAAACAUCGUUUUGUAGGUAACUAAUUAAUCGAAAAUCAAACACAUGAAGACACAAAAGCAUAAAUAAGAAGCAAAGCCACCUGUUUUUUAGAUUCUUUUCCACCAUGGAUGAACAAGGAACAAGAAAUCCCAUUUUUAAAAGGCAGGAAAAUUAGAAACGCCUUCUCAAGGAGCUGAGGAACACAAAAUAUAUAUCCUUAGAGUAAGAAGACAGAAAAGCAUUGUAAAAGAUGUUCAUCAAAAGAGAGCCAGCCAACACUUCCAUUCCCUCUUUCUAAUUAAUUCAAGUGAUCAAUAAACUAUUUUUAAUGAAUCAACCGUCUGUCUUUUUCAGUCAAAUACAAACCACCUCAUAUCAAAGAGAUUGUAGUUUUUGUUUAUAGUUUCAUUCAAUACAGAUGAUGAACAACAAGAAAAAAAGAAGAAAUCAAGAAAUCUAUAUUUUGUUAAUGCAACUGUGUGCAAGUACAAACCUAGACGUCGUCAUCAUCAUCAGAAAAAGAAUACAGAUGCAAUAUUCAUGUGUUGUAUUCAUCUUUUUUUUCUUUUUUAACUUGUAAAAGGAAGGUAAAUCCGGAUAAUAUCUCGUCUUCUAAGCUUUCGCCGACAUAUGGGACAUCUAUGUUGAGUAGCUAUGGCCGUUUCAAUGCAAUUCCUGCAGAAAACGUGCCCGCAUUUUGUUGUCGUUUCUUCAACCAAUGGUUCUAUGCAGAUUGCACAUCGCAAAGUCCUAUCUGUAGGUGGGAUGCUACUACUUAGUGCAAGUGUAGAAGGAAUGUCAGUGUCAGUUUUUGCCUGCAAAAGGAGGUUUACACUUUAGUUUCAAGCUCUAAUAAAUAAGGAUCUUAAUCCGAUGUGUUUAAUUAAUGUAGUUACCAGAAAAAUCCAAGUGCUUUAUAUAAGAUUAAGAAACAUCACAAAUCUAAUUCAGAUAAAAACAUCAUUGGCCAAGACGUGUGCCAAUGGCAAUGGUCAACAGAAGCUUGAAUCAAUGGCAAAUUUCAUUCGAAGACAAAAAUGGAAAAUUUGGCAGAGAGAAAUAUAUGCCCCCCCUCACAAAAACUUGCACAAGAUGAAGCAAUUUAGACGGAGAUCAUAUUAUUGUUCUUUUUCCAUCUUUUAUGAAAACAACUUUUAUUGAAAAUAAAUGAAAGAAGAUGGAGAUAUAUUAGAAGCCACAGCAGAAUGUAAAUAUAUGAAAAUUUGCAACAGAUAGUUUGAAUCGUUUUAGAUAUCAUAAGCAUCUAAAGGAUGUUAUCAAAACUUGAAUCAAUAUUUUCCCAGAGAUAAUGAAAAUGGAGCUGUCCGAUUGGAAACCAAAAUGCACGCUGAUUGCUAGGCGAUGAACUGACCACUUUCUGUUGCACUUUCUCAUUUACAAUGAUUUUAGAAGAAGUUUUCUAUUAAAAAAACUUGUUCACAAAAUAUUUGUUUAAAACUAAAAAAUGUGGUCCCAAAAAGUUAUUUUUCAUUAUUUUCCAUUUGGCUAAUACUUCUGUGUAAAAAGGAACAAGAUAAAUCUUUAGUAAGCAGCCACAUAUUUUUACAACAGAAAUCAACAUUGAUUUUUUUUAUAACAAAUGUGGACUGAAUUUUUCAAAAACACAUAUACAUUCAGUUUCAACAUAUGCAGAUAAAAGAUAGAAGAAAGACUUCAACAAUGAACAGGCAAUUCCAAAGGUUGCAAGUGUAAUAAUCACUAAAUCAGUACUACCUUAGUGGCCCUACUACUGCUUUCACAGCUUAGGCGAAGGUCCAAGUUGUGAAUUGUUUGUUGUUCCUGUAAGGAUACAUUAUUGCUAAUUGUAAGAGGCGACCAAAUUGUAAAAGGGGGCCAAGUUGUUACAUCUGCAAAAUAUCCAAAAAGAACAUGUGUUAGUUAAUGAACUAAAUGUGUUAAUCUAUCUCAUUUUUUUAUAAUCAUGAAUAACGGAGGCAAGCUACAAAAAAAGGCCUCCAAUCAAAAGAAUGUUGAUCUCAUGACUGACUGCAAUUAAAAUAAUGAUUCCAAGUUUGGGCAGGAAUGUGUUUGGAAAAAAAAAAUCAAAUUAUCCGAGGAGGUACUAGAGUUUGAAAAAAAUUGGAUGCAACUGAAUAACAAAUUGAUCAGCAAUAAAUGGAGGAACAGGUAAUGAACAUAUGAUUAUGAAUAUAAAUAAAAAUAAAAAUACAUGCCCAAGAAUGUUAUGAAAGAAAGAAGGCUUUGGUUCUAUCCUGAGGAAGCCUACAGGUGACUAGAAAAGAUCUUAAACACUUUAAACACAGCAGCCUGCAUGUUAAGAACUAAGAAUUUUCUCUUUCAAACAUGCAUUAUACUGAAAUUUAAUUCAAACAGUGUUGUAGGUCCACAAUUUAGAAGAUUCACCACAGUAUGUAAAAGUAAAUAAGAAAAAACUAAAAACGUGAAUGUGAUAUUCUCAAAGAACAUCUUGAGUUUGCGACAAAAAAGUGCAGAAAAACUGGGAAAUGGUAAUGUAGCCACGCUAUCAGUGAGAAGUAACCAACCAUUGAAAUACAUAAAAAGAAGUGUAAGAUAUAGAAUAAAAGAGCAUAAACCUGAGAGAGCACCAUAAACUUCUGUGUUGCCAUUACGUCUGAUGACUGCACCACAGCCACUCUCAAAGUGGUUUCUGCGAAAAUUCUUCCUGGCCUAAAAAAUUUGACAUCAUCUUAAAUCCCCAGUGUGGCCUAAGUAAGAAAUGCAAUCAUAAUAUUACAAAAAUGUUACAUACUUCAGCAAACUUCCUAGGAGAAAUUAUAGCAAUGUCCUCGUCGAUGGCGUCCGUGGCUUGUCCUUGGUAAUGAUUGUAGUAUUGCGCUGCUUCAUCAGGCAGGCCAGUUGGAUCAAUGCACUCGUCUGGGGGUGGACAAUUCAAGUCGAAGUCCAACACUGUUCUUCUCUCAAUAACUCUUGAACUCCAAUCAUGUAGAUCAUUUGAACUUUGAAUGCUCAUCCCGACAGCUCUUUCUGUCUUUCAAGCCUGAAAAAGUAGAAUCGUCCACAAAAAUGGAGAAGUAAUUCAGAUUGAAAUAACUAGGAGGUCGAACCAUUGUUAUUGUAAUGUAAUUACCAAGAAGUCGACAUUAAAUUGAACAAAUGAGUUGAACGUUCAAAACAAAAAAUACAGAAUUCUCUUACUUUGCACAUCAUCGACCUAAAAAAGAAAAUACAUGACAAAAAUACCAAAGAACUGAAAUAUCCAUUAGGAAUCAUAAUUAAAAGUCUGUUUAAUUCAUAAAAGAAUGUGCGCAUCAAUUUAAUCUGUUUAGUUGUUAUUACUAAAAAACUGUUUAAUUUAUACACAAUUCGGUGAAUCAAGACGGAGUUUGAUCUAUGAACCAACAACUCCGUUUUUUAUUUUCUACCAUUAACGUUAAUUUACAUAAAUUAUUUAUGUUUUUUUUUUUUUUUUGUGAGAAACUAUUCACACUAUUUUUUUGUUUGUAACUCAAAUAAAUAUAUAAACAGAUAACUUGGUCGAUUUUGAAAUUAAUAUAUAUUAUAUAUAUACUUCUUGAUCAUAAAUUCUGCUAGAAAUUUAAACCCUUGGUGGAAUUAAAUUGCUACAAAAAAUAACAAAAAAAAUGCCAAACGUGUUCUAAAAAUAACGGGACGCCAAUUGGACUCUAUCCCACUGUCUAAAUCCACAUUUUAUUUACCCAUUUCAUCCAUGAUUGUUUCCCCCAAUCACGGCCCUUGAAACUAUGAUUUAAAAAUAAACCCUCUGAUGAACUCAGAAAAUAAUAAAGCCCUAAAUUUAGCUAAUAUAUGGUUAAGAUUUCACGACCAGAACAGAACCCCCAACCAAAAAGCAUAAAACCCUAAACCAAUUGAACCGUGAGUAAAACUAUUCAACGAGUCACCUUCUUGAAUCUAAAACAAAGCGCCCUAAAACCUUCAACUGACCUCGUUCAAUAGUUCGGAACUCGAGCGAAAAUCGAGAAAAAAUCAAGAAUAAAAAACACAGAAAGAACCACAAAAAACAAUCAAACCGAACAGAACCCACCAUAAAAAAACACAAAACGACAAACAAAAGCAAGAAAUCAGGGAAAAGAAGCAUGAUUCAGGCAAUACAACAGUAGCGUGAGGAAAACAGUAAAGGGGAUCGUACCUGGCGAAGAACGAAACGGCGAACUGGGGGUGGAGCAAAGCGACCGAGAGAUGAAACGGAAGAGACUUGCAGAGAGGAAAGGGAGGAGGGAGAGGAAGAAAUGGGAAGAGAAAAUGGGAGAGAAAGAGAAGGGGGGCGGCAAUCGAGAUAUAAAAGCAAUGUUGGCUUCCUUCCAUUCCAUAUAUGUAGAGGCGAGGAGGUGUUUUGUUUGAAAAACUUUACAUCCUUGCGAGAUCCUCCUUUCCUCGAAAUUAUUCUUUAUUUUUGCCAUUCUUCGUUGCUCUUUGUCUUUGUCCUCUUCGGCGCUUCCCUUAUUCUUCCCUCUCCCCUCCCCCGCCCUGGGCUCUCGUCGGGCCCAUUUUGUCUUCCUUUCGGCCCAUUCUUCUCUUGAUUCACCCAUUAUUUUGGAUUUUUAUUUUUCAUUCAAAAAUAAUAAUGAUAAUAAUGGAGUUAUUUACAAAAACAUAACAAAGUACGGUAACAAAAUAAGAAAAGCAUGACCGACCAUCACUUUUUCAUAAAUUUCAUAUAUGUUUUUAUGAUUUAUUGGUACUAUCAAAGCGAGAGAUUUAAUAAUGCAAAAGUCUUAUAUUUGAAAAAUCUCCAGUAAUGCUUGCUAAAAAUAUUAGCAUAAUUCAUUAAUUGUGAGUCCUGUGGGUGUCACUAAGACCCAAAAUCUAAAAAUUAAAUGAAUAAUUCUGUGAGGCAACAAUACAUAAUUUUUUCUUCUCGAAACAUUCGGUGCAACUAAGGCUUUGGAUCGUGUAUCGUUAUCUAUACCAUUCUUUAAUUUUGAAAGGUUUAAAAUGAAGCAUGUGAUCAUGUAGAUCUACACCUAUGUCUUUCAUCUCGUACCAUCUCGAUGCAUUAUAUGUUCGAUGUGGAAUUAAUUAAAGGUAUGAUUAUUUCAUCAGGAGCCAUUGUAUGCUUGAGAUUGAUUGCACUCAUAUGAUCUUGUUGAUUGAGGUAAUUUUUGUAUUUCACAAUUUUUUACCUAGGACCUUUUUGCGCUUUCAAAAUUGUUAUAAAUAUUUUCACUAUAGUAUCUAAACGCAAAAAAAAAAAAAAAAAAAACUAUGGUAAUUAGUAAAAUGGAAAUUUUGUUAAGAAAAGCUACAAAUACAAUAAAAUGCCACAGUCUACGUAUACUAAUGUCAUUUGUCGAUUAGAGAUAAUAUAACUUGUCACUCAUAGACAACUAGAGUUAUAUUUAUGAAUAAACUAGUUCAUUGUGGCCUGAGGAUUUGAAAACAACUCUUCAAAUUUAAGUGGAUGAAAUAUGUUAUGUAAAAGUUGUUCACAUGUUUAAUUUCGAAAGACGGUUGGCAAUGUGCUUUAACCUAUUAGGUUAGAUAUCGAUCUAGUGAUUUUGUCCCUCCACCUAGAUCGUUCCAUUAAUUUUGACGAGACAUUAGAGUGGAGUUGAGCACAAAUGGAGUCGUUCAAACAACUUGAGUGUACAACUACUCCCUCCAACUACAUUAAAAUUCUUGCAAUUCGUAAAAGUAUUUAAAAACGUGUUUGGACGAGAUCAACAAUAUAGUACAAAACACGUUUUACCAAAGCUUUUACAUGCUUUGAUAUUUAAAAAAUUGAUGCAUGGCAUUUGAACAUUCGAUUAUUAGCUUUUGACUUUUUUAACAUACUUAUGGGAAUCAUAAACUUCACACAUAAAAUCUCGAAAGGAAAAGCUUUUAGAACAAAAAUUACAACAAAAAGAUAAAAAGGAGGGCGUAAAAUGUCCUAAAUUGGCCCAAUCGACGAGCUUCCUCACUAUUGUUAUCCACUCUUGAAAGAACUGUUGUGCAACUUGAAACUUUUAGUCUGUUGAAGCGUGGUAGAUAUCAACAAAACAAGAUCAAAUUUAAACGUUACAACACAAUUUAAAACAUAAUUUUUUAAAUUAUUUAUAGGAACAUUUUAAAAAUAGCAAAAUAAAUAAAAAUAUAUUUCUACCCGUGUCAUUGAUACUAUCAAUGUUAUAAUCUAAAAUUUUUACUAGCAGUAAAUAUUUUAUCAAUCUUACUAUUUUUUACUAUUCCUAUAGUCAAAUUCUAAUUUAAAAUAACACAUAUGCACCCAAAGAAAAGAGAAAAAACAAAAACAAAAGAAUGGAGGAUAGAGAAUCCAACCAGUCAACGUGAAGAAAUCUAUUCACACUUCACUAUUUUAGAUUAACAUAUCUAAUCAAUUUACUUUAAAAAAGAUUAAAUUAAUACAUAUAAUUAAUUAACAUAAAAACAAGAUUGAUCUAUGAAAAGAGAAAAGAAAAGAAAUAAAUAGUUUGAUUAUAUAUUGUUAUUAAUUUAAAAGGAAGGCGUAAAAAUCAUAGGCAAGGACAGCAUCUAUUCCCACUUUGAUCCCAGUCUGAAUCCGUCUAUAGACAAAAAGCACACAUUUUUUGAACACAUCAUUCGAAGACAUUAAAAAAAGAAAAAAAAAACGUGGAAAAUUAUUAAAUUAACUAUUCCUUUAUCCGAUCUUUACUUAUUUAUAUUAAAUUAAAUUAACUAUUCCUUCAGCAAUUUUUACUAAAAAUAUAUUUAUAAAAACGAUGCACAAAAGUAUCCCAAUCGCAUGCUUGUUACGUAAACACACGCGCCAUUACAUAAGGGACAGGUGGCGGUAAUAUUCUCACCAAUAUCCGAAAUUCUCCCGCAGCACAUCCUUGUUUCUAUCGGAAGUCAGUUCAGUUUAGCUCUUCCCUCAGAAAUGGCGGACGGUAAUUGAUUGAAGCCUUGCAAAUUACCUUUGUGUUUUGAGGCUCUGAACUUCUCGAGCUCGAUCGCUGUUGUUGAAAUUUUUUGAAUGGUUAUGGUUAUGGUUAUGGUGUCACUUGGUGGUUGUACGUUUAUAAAUUUUUCUUAGUGGAUAUUUCUACGGCGGUUCCGGUUGAGUUUUUUUUUUUGGUCGGCGGCAAGGAAGUUAAAUGGCGGUGCGAGGUGUUUUGAUUGUUCAGUUGAUGAGUUUGACUCUGACGAUUCAUCUAUUGGUUGUCUCUGGGGAGUUUUUCAAGCCUUUUAACGUGAGCUACGAUCAUAGGGCUCUGAUCAUCGAUGGAAAGCGCCGCAUGCUUAUCUCUGCUGGUGUUCACUAUCCUCGCGCUUCUCCGGAGGUAAUUUGGCGAUUUUUCUGUUUUUACUGCUUUACUGUUGUAUUUAUAUUUGCUGAAAUGACGUGCGAGAGAAUAAUCGAGUUGGCCUUGGAUGAAGGGAAGUGAAUUUGUUGUGUGUGGAUAGUUUAUUGUGCUCAAUAAUCAGGAUACAUCAAGAUAAUGAAAAUGGAGAGAGACAUUUAAUUUUUACUAUCAUUCAUCAUUUAUUUGUCUUAUUAUUGGUGUAAAUCGAGUUUUCCUUUUUGUUAUUUUAGCUUCACAAAUUUCAUUACCAAUUGGAAGUGCUUUAUUGUAAUCCUUUAAUUAGGACUUUCCAUUUUGUAAUUUCAUCAACCAUCAUGUCAAUGAAAUCUUUAUGUUUCCAAUAAAAGAUGAUAAGGGUAUUGGAAAGAAUGUUUGGCACUCAUCACUUGUGAGAUUUGAUCACACUUACUCAAUUUGGUUAUAGGUUUUUACAUGAUUGUAGAUGUGGCCUGAUCGUAAGGUUCUUUCCUUUUAUGUUACCACAGAUGUGGCCUGAUAUAAUUGAGAAGAGCAAGGAAGGUGGGGCGGAUGUCAUUCAGAGUUACGUGUUUUGGAAUGGGCAUGAACCAACAAAGGGACAGGUGCAGUAAUCUGCUUACAAGCUAGUCCAAUCGUCAUGUUUUUAGUAGGUUGCUUGAUAACUUAAAUAUAUUUUACAUUUUCUCCUUCCAGUAUAACUUUGAUGGCAGAUAUGACCUCGUUAAAUUUAUAAGGCUGGUAGGAUCCAGUGGCCUCUACCUUCAUUUACGCAUUGGACCAUACGUGUGUGCAGAAUGGAAUUUUGGGUAUAUCCUCCUGUCACCCAAUUAGUGUUUUCUUUUACUAGUCAAAUUUGUGAGAGUUGGCUCUCUUUGAGACCGUGUUGUUUGUUAUAUUGUACUUAUCACUUUGAAACUGAUAGCAUUUACGUUUUGAAACCUGGCAUUCAUUUCAUUUGAAGAACAAAAUUAGUUCUUGGUAUCAUCUAGUAGCUUAAUACUUAGGGCUCAAGAUAACAACGUGACAUGUCGGCAUCUGAGGUGUAGUAUUAUGACUUACUAAACAAAAUCAAAGUUCAUCCUGAUUACGGCUGUUUGCCAUGUCCAUUUUCCAGUAGCAUAUUUAAAAAAGAAUGUAAUACUACAGUAGAUAGGUUAGGUAAAACAGGAAAUAAGGAACUAUUUUAGACACUUAAAAAGAUGUGCAUCUGUUGAAAAAUUCUGUCUGGAUGAGCUUCUAGUCCUUACACGGACGACACAACUCCGUACAACUACUGAUGUCUUGCCCAUCUAAAAAUUAUUCUCCUCAAAUUUACGAAAUGUUAACCGUUAUGUAGUAUGGGAUUAUUGUAGGGGUUUUCCUUUGUGGUUGCGAGAUGUACCUGGAAUUGAAUUUCGAACAGACAAUGCUCCUUUCAAGGUGCAUCAGCAUCUCUUAACGUAUAUUUGUACUUGCUAGUUGAUUAUAUCUUUUUUGGAGCCAAAAGUUUGGCAUGUAACCUUCAUAAAUUUACCUUAAACAUGUUGGUAUUGCCAAUUAAUGUUUGUUGCAUUGCUAUGAGAUGAUUAACUGUAGCAACACUUCAUCUUUUAUAGGAGGAGAUGCAGCGAUUUGUCAAAAAGAUAGUAGAUCUUUUGCGUGAUGAAAAACUAUUUUGUUGGCAAGGUGGUCCUGUCAUCAUGUUGCAGGUUAAACAGAAACGUUAAUGUUCUUUGUUAUUGAAUAUUGCUGUUAAUUUAAUGAUCGUGAUAUUUAACCUUGCAAUUGAAAUUUAUUGGGAUUCUAUUUAUUAUUUACUUUUUUAGCUGUUUAUAGGAUAAGUUUCAUGAGUACAACCCUACAUUAAGCUGAGUUGUUGAUUGGUUAUUUUAAUGUUUAUCAAUACUUCCAUUUUCUUUAACCAUUUCAUAUAUUGCAGAAUUUUGAUGAAGUUAUCUUCGAAAGUUAUUUUUUCAGAAAAUCACAAUUCAGCUCUGCUGUGCAAAUACUUGCAUGUUUUUUUAGAACUUUGUUGAGUUUGAGCAUUGGAAUAUUCGAUUCUGCUGUGUUGUUCUUGUGGGGUUGAAGUAUUACUAUUAAAGUGAUAUGCUUCAUAUUCUCAUUUUGUAACCCCUCAUUAUUAGAUUUUUUUGUGAUCCAUUUUUCUUUUUAGAGUAUUUUUCCUAUGAUUUCUUAUAGCAUGAGAUUGUGUUAUUUUGCUGGAUUUUUCACUACAGUUGGAUGGUGUCCCCUCUUUUACCAUUCUUACUGUCACUCUUUGAAACUAAAUAACAGGUUGAAAAUGAAUAUGGAAAUAUUGAAAGUUCGUAUGGAAAGAGGGGACAAGAGUAUAUUAAAUGGGUUGGCAACAUGGCUCUAGGUCUUGGUGCUGAGGUUCCAUGGGUUAUGUGCCAGCAGAAGGAUGCUCCAUCAACCAUUGUAAAACUUUUACCCUAUUUACUCAAUUUUCAGUUUCUCUUUCAUAUAUUAGUCAAGAAAGUUGAGGUGUCACUGUACUUUAUGAAAUUUUUUGUUUAGAUCAAAAUUUCAUAUCCCUUUUAUGUUAAUUUUCAGUAUAAACUUUUGUUUGGGAAGGUUUUCUUUUCUAUUUUAUCUACGUUUUGUUUAUAUCAACUUCAAGAAUGCAAUGCAUUUACAUCGAUUUUUAAAAAGUGCUAGUUGUUCAAGAGCAUCUUUUAAAAGCAUAACGAAACAUUGUUGUUGUUCUUUCACUCUUCUAAUUACUUGUAAAAACUAUUCUGUCAAAUGUAUUUUAUGAGUUAAGAAGUUAUGUGCAGUAUAUGUGUGUUGUGUGUUUAAAGGUUUUGAAGUACAAAACAAAAAUUUAACUGUAGCUUAAACAUCACUUUGUAUAACCUGUUUGGUAAGAUCACUCGAUAAAAUCGUGUCUAUAAUAAACUGACAAGAGUUUGCAUUUACUUGUUUCUUGAAAUCUUGAGAUCCAAACCUUGUUAACUUAUGUUUAAUUUGUUAAUGAUACAGAUAAAUUCAUGCAAUGGUUACUAUUGUGACGGAUUUAAGGCAAAUUCUCCAAGCAAACCCAUAUUUUGGACAGAAAAUUGGAAUGGAUGGUAUAGUUUUCUAAUUUCUAGUAGGGUUAUGAUUAUUGUGCCAUAAUUAUUAAUUACUAUAUGAUCGUUUAUGUGGUAAUCUUUCAUAAAGAAGUUGAAGUUGAAGAUGCUAUGAAGUACUAGUUCAGACUUUACUGUAGAAAGUUUGGUUUGAAAGAGGUCGUAAUAAUUUUAAGACAGACAAUCAUCCCUAGAUAGUAUUACUUUAUUUUAUUGGUUGGAGUUGUUUUCCUGGGUCCUCGUUUCAAUUCUUCCAUCAUUUUUUUUUGUAAUUUACCGGGCCCUACAAAAUGUUGAAAGUUUAGAAGCUUGACUAAAACAUUUCAUGGUAUAAUACUGUUUGUCCCCAGCUAAACAUAAUUUAAUAAGUUCAUAAGCUCAUAUAUCAAUUUUACACGAUCAAGUGCAUAAUUGGUUCUGUUGAAAAAUUUCAGUGGCAUAAACAUUUCAAUUUUUUGAAGGUUUACAUCAUGGGGUGAGAGGUCACCCCAUAGACCAGUUGAAGAUCUUGCAUUCUCUGUUGCCCGCUUCUUCCAACGUGAAGGGAGCUUUCAGAAUUAUUAUAUGGUAUGUGAGAUCAGUUGGAACAUUGUCAAUUACCAGAUUUUAAUGAAAUCAAGAUGGUUAUGAGAAUUGAACAUGUCAUAGUUUUGUGCAUUUUUUGAAUGGUUAUACAUAGAUUUCAUGUGUCAUACUACGUAACACUGUCAAGGAGUUCAACUUUUAUAUGUAAUCAUAUUUCAUGAGAAACACCUUUCGUUUACUAGAAAGGAACUUCAAAUCGCAGGGAGUCAAUAACAUUCAUGCCCGGUAUAUAUUCUACUAUAUAAUGAAAUAUACUUAUGGCCAUAUCUAUUUCCCAACCAUAUAUUUAUUUAUAUGGGAGAUAAUGGAAUGACAGUGAUAGAAUUUACAAUGCAAAUCAUGAUGGAGUACUGUAUUUAAAACCAGAUGAAGUCAUCAAAGUGAAAUGAAAAGUAAAGAGAGUGGGACAACAUAAUUCUUUGUGAUAGAAUUUUUUGACGAGGCUGAAGCAUUAUGCACAGCACAUCCCUUAGGGUUAGGAUUUCAUGGGGACUUCCAAACAUUUCACCUUUUUUUUCUAAUUAAAUAGGAAGUUGAGGGCUUACUUGUAAGUUGGCUCGUGAUGUUCUUUGUGGUUCUUUGUGUGUGUGUGUUCCCCCCUUUCAAAUUCCUUGAUGAAAUUAUGUAUUUAUGGGAAAACAUUUGUUUUCCUCGAGGGAAUUUAUGUAUUUAAUUGGAGAAAAAUGUGAAAUGUUUUACUUUUAGGGUUAUGGAAUCAACAGAAUGUUUAUACCCUGCAUUUAUUCAAUGAUGUAACCAAGUGUACUUCUUAACAUUUGCAGUACUUUGGUGGAACAAAUUUUGGCCGUACUGCUGGAGGCCCAUUUUAUAUUACUAGCUAUGAUUACGACUCUCCAAUUGAUGAGUAUGGUAGGUAACUUAGGAUGAAACAGAUUUUCUCUGAUAAAUUUUAGUUUUUAGUCGGUUACAGUCUGCUACCUUUUAAUAUUACCUAUUCCCAUGACAUUAUCCUGUAUUAAGCUCACAAAAUCAUUGUUCAUAGGCUCUACUGGCAAUAUUUAUUUUCUUCAUAUAGGUUUGAUAAGGGAACCCAAAUGGGGGCACUUGAAGGAUCUGCAUACUGCAUUAAAGCUCUGUGAACCUGCUUUGGUGUCUGCUGACUCACCCCAGUAUAUUAAGUUGGGACCCAAGCAGGAGGUUUGACAAUAGCUUGUGCUUUUUAUGGUUUUUAUUGUACUAUCAUCAGAAAUUUUAUCAUCCAAAUGAGUAUUGAAAUGGAUAAAUUGAUAGAGAACAAGGGUUUCUAAAUUCCAAAGCUCCAAACGGGUCAAUACAAAAAAUUUCAUUUCCACAAAUGUAUCAAUACCACCUAUUUUCUAUUAACAACCGAACAAGGUGAAAUGCAAUGUAACAGACUUUCCCAUACUGACCCAAUCUCCAAUGAAUGCCCUACCUUUUCCAUGAUGUGUUUAUGGCAAGUUAGGCAUUAGCAUUCAAGUGCAGAGAACAAAAACAACCCUUUUCUUUAAUGCAAGUUUUGGGCCAUCUUUUCAACUCUUUUGGCUGAAAGGGUUUCCUGGAUUUUUCUCUGGGGGAUACGGGACCUGAUGACUUGACUCUACCUGUGACAUCAAUGCUGGAAAGUGGCAAGAGAUCUUAAAAAUGGAUCACACAAACUAUGCUACUUUUUGUUUGUUCCUCAUUGUGUAAAUCCAUUCUCUCAUUUACUAAUUACAUCCUUCCUCUUCCUCUUCCAAUUGAAAGAUUUUUCUUACCUUGAUGUGGGCUGAAGCUGUCUUCUCCCUAUUUUGUAAUGAAAAUAUUUAUUCAUGCCAUUUAGUGUCCAAAUGAUUUGAAUUAUUGUUUGCUGAUGGAUGUUUAUGUAAGGCCCCAAGUUAGUCGAAUAUUAGAAUUAUUAGGAGAAUAUUAGUUUGGUUAUUAGAAGGGGGCAAAUUAGUAAAUAGCUAGUUAGUUGGCUAGGGUUUUAGUUAUAAAUAGGGUUUUAGUGUUGAGGAUGGGUGUGAAGAAUUUUAUGAUGAUUUCCUAAUUCGGAAUUUGGUAGAGGAUUAUGUUAGGACACCUCCUAACAAGAGACUCAAAAACACAAAGAACAAACAAGAAAACUUAAAAGCUAAAAUUAUAUUGCAAUAUCAUUGAAGAAAUUACAAUAUACCUCAACACAUUCUAGAGGGCUGAGAGUCCUCUCCCAAAUUCCCAAUUAGGAAAUCACCAUAAAAUUCUUCACACCCAUUCUCUCAACUCACUCCUACUUAUAACUAUAACCCUCAGUCCUCACCAACUAAUUAGCUAUUUACUAAUUUGCCCCCUUCUAGUUACCAAACUAAUAUUUUCCUAAUAAUCUUAAUAUUUGCCUAACUAGGGGCCUUACAGUUCACUGAUAAAUAUGAAUAUUAUAAUUCUUUCAUUACUGUUUUCAGGCACAUGUAUACCAUAUGAAAUCUCAAACUGAUGACCUAACACUUUCAAAGCUUGGAACUCUAAGAAACUGUUCUGCCUUUCUUGCAAACAUUGAUGAACGUAAAGCAGUUGCUGUAAAAUUUAAUGGACAAACUUAUAACUUACCACCAUGGUCUGUUAGUAUUUUACCAGACUGCCAGAACGUAGUGUUCAACACUGCAAAGGUAUGAUACUCAUAUUGGGUUUUUUACUUCGAACUUUCUUGUUAGUAAUGCACAAAGGAAGAAUGUGAUUCAACUUUCAUCUUAGAAAUUGGUCUACAAUGCUGUGGUAAAUCUAUGUAAGUCCAAGGAAAACCGAAACUAUAUGGGAAGUUCAGUUUCUUUCUCAGUCUUCUAUAAGCUUUACCGAUAUAUGUUGAUGAUGCCCUAGGAAAAUUGAAUCAGUACUGGUGGUUUUAUUUUUUCAAGUUUCUACAAUAGUUCUGAUUCAGUGAUAAGAAAUGAUGAGCAUAGAGAUUUUCUGAUUCCAGUGUGUUGCCAUUUGCUUUUGAGUUGCAUACAAUCUCUCUUCCCAAAGCUUCUUUUUCCGUCUCUGGAUGCUUCAUAAUUUAACUUGAGAAGCUAAAAUUGCAAAUGUUGAGCAGGUUGCAGCACAGACUUCCAUCAAGAUAUUGGAGUUGUAUGCGCCCCUUUCUGCUAAUGUUUCUUUGAAAUUACAUGCUACGGAUCAGAAUGAACUUUCGAUAAUUGCUAAUUCUUGGAUGACGGUAAAAGAACCCAUCGGAAUUUGGAGUGAUCAAAAUUUUACUGUCAAGGGUAUACUGGAGCAUUUAAAUGUUACAAAGGAUCGCUCUGAUUACCUUUGGUAUAUGACCAGGUAAAUUUUCACUUAAUUGAUAAAAUUGGAAACAAGAACACCAUGCACGUGCUUGCUGAAACGUUAUAAGAGAAGCGUUGUCUUACUAUCACUACUGUAUACUAUUACCAAACUUGAUCUAACUUUAGUUUCAUGCGAGUAAUGAAAUCUGAAACGUUAUAAGUAACUAAAUAAACCAAUUAGAAUUGAGAUGGAAAACUUUCACAAGUUAAACUUAAGGAAAAAAAAUCUUUGCCAUGACGGUUUCUUCAUUUCAAACUUAGAGGUUCUGGGCCUCAAGCCUUCUCAAGUCUUGCCAAUGAAAGUUUUAUUUCUAAAUAAAAAGAAAUUAGGCCUCAAGUCUUGGUCGAUACUUGAGGAGAGUGUUGAAAUUAAUGUAAAAAUGUUAUAUAUUUUUUAUAUUCACGAUAAUUAUGAUUUUAACAUAGUAUUAUCCCAUUUUUAGCUUUCUUUCUUUCUUUAUUUUUUAGAAUAAAGUUAUUUAGCGCCUAUGCACUUCGUGAAAUACAGGAUACAUGUUUCCAAUGAUGAUAUCAGAUUUUGGAAAGAAAGAAACAUAACCCCUACAAUUACGAUCGAUAGCGUUCGCGAUGUGUUCCGUGUGUUUGUUAAUGGGAAACUUACAGGUGAUUGAACAUGAUAUCUUGCACUGUAUUUGAUCUGUUAUUUUGCGACGAUCUGAUGAUUUGCUAAUUUUAGGAAUGAGAAUCGACGUAAAUUAAUGAACUCAAGAUAACUUAAUGAAUCAAACAUCCUAUAUACGUUUAUUUAAAAGAAAAAAAACUGUCCUUUUUAAUUUUAUUGAAUCAAAAUAAUAUAGUGCUACAACCUAGUAUUAAUUGUUGAAUUUGAAGAAUACGCUUUACGAGUUGGUGGAUUUCAUUCAGUUGAGCCGCAUUUUCUAUUUUCCAGUAUCUAACCUGGAGUUUGAAUAGGCACUCUUGUUUUGGUUUCCACAAAUAUUCCCUCUUUUUUUUUUUUUUUUCUUAAUAUCUAAACAUAAGUCGAAUUCAAAUUUAUGUAGUCUCUCGUUCAUUAUAUCGAUGAAAGAGGCUUUUCUUUUUUUUAAAAAAACCAAACUUAUGUAAUCUGCUGCAUUUUUUUGGAAUAUUCACUGGCAGCAUCACAACAGCUAGAUUUGAGAUGAUUUAGUGGUGGCUAUUUAUGAAGUGCGUUGAACUUCCUUCCCAUUUCUCCAGGGAUCAGUUAUUUGAAUCUAGUUUUGAAGAAUUCCUGCCAUUUUGAUCAGUAUUUAUUUUCCUCUUUACACAAACAAUUCUUUUCUAUCAUAUAUGGUAAAUUUUUUAGAAAGCUUAUACGAAAAAGUUUUUGGAUUAAAUUUCCAUUUGCUGGCACUAGUAAGAAAUAUCUGCAAAUUUGUGUCGUGUGUACAUGUACUAAUCAUUUCGCUAACUCUAUUCCAUUUUUUCUGUCAUAUGGAAGAAAAGGCAGUGCAAUUGGUCAAUGGGUGAAGUUUGUCCAGCCUGUCCAAUUUCUUGAAGGAUAUAAUGAUUUGCUGUUGCUAUCUCAAGCAAUGGGUUUACAGGUAAAAAAUUCAUCUACAUCUUUUCUUUUGUGGAGAUCUACGUGAAACUGUGGUUUGUGGUGAGUGAUGACUAGAUGACCGUGUUUAAUGCCAUUAUCGAAACUGUCUGGAUUUAAAUGCAUUAUCAAUUCACUUCAAGCACACUGUGUCCUUCUCCAAUGUCUCUUUAAGGUGGAUACCGCCAUUCCCUGUGCUUAUUAGAAUCCAGGUGGCCUAUUCUAAAGAAGAAACAUGGUGAUCUAACACCGCAAAGAGGUAAAGGUAAAUGAUUAGAGAAUUCAAAAGAUGGAGCUCGAAGCUCAUCAAUUAACGUUAACCAUAAAAGGAGUGUUUCUUUUCUGAAUUUUGAAGGACAUUUUGAUCUGCCAUGAACGUCCUUAAUUGGGAUGAAAUGGAAUAGGCCUUGGUGACAAUUCUGAGAUAAGGAUAUUCAAGAUACCAUCCUUAGCACUGACCUUAAAUUUUCUAUUACAACAACGUAAUCUGAACUAUUUGACUUUUUUUUGUUAGUGCUCAUGUUUUCUUUCUAAAAGAUCUCAAGAAUUAGCCAUAGUAGUAAAAGGCCACUGGAUUCUUCAAAAUAUCAUUAAUUUCUUCUGUUUAAACUCGAGUGGGCCCUAAACUUUUAUUGAGCUGGAUCCUUUCUAGGUUCAAUUCUAGAUUUUUUUGCUUCAGUUUAACUACAUACAAUUAGUUCUUCAUUCUUCUGAAUGCAUAUUUUCUUUUAAGCUAAUUUUCUUAUUGGUGGUAUGUUCGUGGAUCUUAUGUAUUAUUUGAUUUCUUUUAAUCAUACAAUAGAAUUCUGGUGCCUUCAUUGAGAAAGACGGGGCAGGUAUUAGAGGUCGUAUAAAGCUCACUGGAUUCAAAAAUGGAGAUAUCGAUCUCUCCAAGUCCUUAUGGACUUAUCAGGUAAUAAUAUUUAACAGCGAUAGUUUUCUUUUAGCUUUUGGCUGAACCUGAGUCUUAGUAGUUUAAAUCUGUAUUCAAAUUUCUCUAGUUACAUCUAGAAAGUUGUUGACAUAUAAAAUCAAAAUUUCAUUUUGGCACUAGGUUGGGCUCAAGGGUGAAUUCUUGAAUUUCUAUUCUUUAGAAGAAAAUGAGAAGGCCGAUUGGACCGAAUUGUCAGUUGAUGCUAUUCCGUCAACAUUCACCUGGUACAAGGUAGAUUAUCCAGAGAUUAUCAAAUAAUAUUGUUUAUUGAAAAAAGAAUCAUAUUUGACUGCUGUCAUUUGUGUUCAGGGAGGGAUCUGGAAUGACAUUUUUGCAUCUCUUUACCUAAUAGCGUAACUUUUUGUGCUAUCUUAUUCUUGACCUUUUUUUUUUGCUAAUCCCAACCAUGGAUUUUUCACUUUAUGAUUCUGUUGGAAAACUCUUUAUUUUCUGUUUUUACUGUAUCCAGUGUCCCUAUUUGGUUAGAUUGAUGCUGUAGGGAUUUUGGUAGACAAUUCUUCACAAGGAAGCUUUGUUUUGCCUAUUUUCUAUUUCUGGUGUAUUUAUAUGGUCAGUUUGAUGCGAUAGAUCAUAGAUGGGUUUUCUUAAUUGACACUUGGGAAAAUCAGGGACCUCAUUCCAAGUUCCAGCGAUCCAUGGAAGUUAAGUUGACCAAACAUAAUCUCUUCGAAUUUAGAAGCUCAUUUAUUUUGGCUCUGGUGUAGGCGUACUUCAGUUCACCUGAUGGAACCGAUCCGGUCGCUAUUAAUCUAGGAAGCAUGGGGAAGGGGCAGGCUUGGGUUAAUGGCCAUCAUAUAGGUAGAUACUGGAGUGUGGUUUCCCCAAAAGAUGGCUGUCCCAGAAAAUGUGACUAUCGUGGUGCUUAUAAUUCGGGAAAGUGUGCAACAAAUUGCGGGAGGCCAACACAAAGCUGGUAUGUUCGAACCUACCAAAUAGCUUAAAGAAUCCAAACUAUGUUUCAAUGAUGACAUAUAUGGCAUGCGUUUGUGUGCGUGUUUGUAUUGGACGCCUAUAAUUCUUUAGUCUGACAUUCUCUCUAAUAAAAAACUGGUCUCUCCCUCUGCUUGUGGCCGUAACUAACACACCAAACCAUGCAAAUCUCUGUAUCAAUUCUCUCUAUUGUUUACAUUUAUUUUUUUAAAUUCUCAAUUUGUUUACAAGUAUAAAUAUAUAUAUUGAAUCAGAAUAGAUGCUGUAUUGCUUGUUAACGUUGCAAGUAAAAGUAUCUUUCAGGUAUCAUAUUCCACGCUCGUGGUUAAAGGAAUCAAGCAAUUUACUAGUUCUCUUCGAGGAAACGGGAGGAAAUCCGCUUGAGAUUGUAGUUAAGUUGUAUUCAACUGGAGUCAUCUGUGGUCAAGUCUCAGAGUCUCACUAUCCAUCUCUUAGGAAAUUGUCUAAUGACUAUAUAUCUGAUGGAGAAACUCUCUCAAACCGUGCAAACCCGGAAAUGUUCUUGCAUUGUGACGAUGGACAUGUAAUCUCCUCGGUCGAAUUUGCUAGCUAUGGAACUCCUCAAGGAAGUUGCAACAAGUUCUCUAGAGGUCCCUGUCAUGCAACCAAUUCUUUGUCCGUUGUUUCACAGGUGAGUCGUCCUCUUUUGAUAUUUCCAAAGAAUAUUAUUGCAUAUAAGGUGAAUUUUCAAGCCUAAAUUGCAAAUAAAAAUUGUGCAAAACGUUCCAUAACUACUUUUCGAAUAGAAAUUCAUGGAAUCUGAAACAAUAUGGUAGUUGUGGUUCCUUGAGACUCGAGCAGUAUCACAUUGUUUUAAGUGACCGCCACAUUUGUUCUAGGUUUUAAUUUUCAUCGAAAAUUUUAAUGUAUGUUCUAAAGUAGAGAAACUUCUUAAGGUUAAUAAUUUUUUAAUUGGAUGAGAUAUUUUUCUUAAUUUAGCCUUUCCUUUUCCUUUUAAGAUCGGAAGGUAAAAAGUAACUAUUUUGAUUCGGAUAACUGAGCCAUUCAGUUUCAUCUUCCCUUUCCAGGCUUGCUUAGGGAAAAAUAGUUGCACAGUUGAAAUUUCAAAUUCUGCAUUUGGGGGCGAUCCAUGCCAUAGCAUUGUGAAGACCCUCGCUGUCGAGGCUCGAUGUAGCUCAACGUCAAGUAUCCAUUCCUCUGUUUGACACGAAAACAACUAAUCCUCCAUUGUCUAUAUGUAAGUAUGCUGUGUAUUUACUAUUAUCUUAAAUCAUCAUCGUCGAUUCCAUUGUAAAUCUGCGAUUUUAUUUCUAGUUUUGGUCUUGACUGCACUUUUACAAAUGAAAUGAAGUUCUAAAGUACUUGAGAAAAAAAAUUUAGUAAAAUAGAGAAGGUUCCAAAACUAAAAGAAUAAGGUUGAUUUGAGAACUGUUCUAUUAAAUUUCUUUAAAAUAUGUUAGGUCAAGUUUUGAAGCCAUAACCUCCAUGUAUUUAUUUUGUUUUCUUUUCUAUUAACUUAAAUCGGUUUGAAGAAAAAAUCAAUUCUAUUCCAAAUUUUUCUAACAAUAAAUACACAAAAAUAAUUUAUAAUCUUUAAUAUAUCAUUUUUGAAAAAUUAAUUGAAACUAUAGUUUUAUUUUAUGAAAAUUUAAUAAAUAUUUCAACAUUUGUUUAUAUAUUUCAAAACUUUACAUUUCUAUAAUAAAUAUUGUUAAAUUUAAACCAUCUAUUUUAUAUUAUAUGAAUGUUAAAGUGUAGAUUUAGUCUCUAAAUUUUUAAAAUUGUAUUAAAAAUGUAUUCUCUGUAUAAAAGUAAAAGUGUCUAACAUAAGAUAUAAAAAGAUAAAAAUAUUAGUCUCGGAAAAUUGUUUCUUAAUUAUAAUUAAAGUAACUUUAAGUAUAACAUGAAAUCAAAUUAAUUUUAUUGAGUUUGAAAAGUUAUAUUGUAUAUAAAAAGAUGUAGCAUAAGAGUGUAUCAAAAUUUUAACAAACAAGAAAAGUAAUUGAAAAAAAAAAUUAGAAAGAAACUUUACAAAUCAUUAAAAAUAAAUAUUCUUUUUCUUAAAAAGAUCCUACAACUAUAUAUGUAUUUGUACUAAAAGAAAAAAUGUAACACUAAAUUAUUAAGAAUGGAUUGUGAAAUGUUAAAAGAUAAAUUAAUAACUAAUUAGUUUUUCAAAAGGUGUUACUAAUUAAUUUUUAUCCAAUUAUAUUUGAUUACUAUAUAUGAAAAUUUGGGUAUGUCAAAAGUUUCUAUAAUUUUACUUUUAAUUUCAUCAGCUCAAGAAAAUUGUAAAAAUAAUUAGUAAAUCAACCAACACUUUGAUGAUAAGGUAAAUUAUAUAUUAAAAAAUGUUGACUAAUUAAAAAUACAUAACCAAAAUAUUAUAUUUUCAUUAUUACAAAACAAUCAUAUAUAGUUAUUUGUACAUAAAGCAAAACUAAUUCAAUUGGUUUUUAAUAUUCUAUAUUUAUAUUUACACUAAUAUUAAUAAUAAAUAUAUUUACAUGGAGUAACGUUUGUGGACUUUUUAAAAAAAGAAAUUUCUCCAAAAGUUUUAUAUUUAUGAAAAUUCUCCUUUUUAAAAAAAAUGGUUUUUAGUUAUUAAAUAGAUUAAAAAUAUAUUAAUAAGUUAGUUAAAUCAAAUAAUAAUUUCCAUAAAUGUAACCAAAUCCAAAAAAUAUUUAUGAUCCAAUAUUUUCAUAAAUUUCAUAUUUGUCCUUGAAUAAUUAUUUUAUAAAAAAUAUUUGCUCUUUGACACUUGAGAGUUAAACGAUGCUUCGACCUAAGGAUUAAAAUAUCCAUCUACACGUCAAUUCUUCAACGUUGAUAUUAAAUAUUCUUAAUAUGUUAAAUCUUCUAUAAACACUCAUAAAAAGAUAACACACAACAUGAAGGAACUCAAUCACUUGAAUGAAUAAUAUUUGAAAUAAUAUAUGCAUUAGCAGUAAUAAAUGUUUUGAAUGUAUUAAAGUCAAAAAGAGAACGUGGCGAACCAUAAUAUGCCCAAAAACAAAAGCUUUACCACUAAUCUGUUGGCCAAAAAUGCCUCUGCCCAAACUCAAACAUUUCCAAUAAAAACAACAAAUUCCCACCAUGGCCAUUCCAUCUAGAAAAAGCAAAAAACAUAUUCUAUGCCUUCUUGCAAGUCAUUUUCCCCAUGGAAAACAGCAACAUCUCUGUAGGACAGAGGAAGAAAAAUGGAUCAAACUCUUUUACCAACUCCAUGGAAAAUAGAGAGAGAGAGAAAGAAAAGAUAUGUUAGUUAAAUAGCACUUCUAGUUCUUCCCACCUAAAAAUAUUGCAUGAAGUUGGCUUAGUUUAGGCUCAAUUUUCAAAACAACCACACCCAACAAAACAACCACUCAUAUCUAAUCACAUCUCAUCUCAAGUUGGUCAAAAUAUUUCUAAAUCACAUAAUUCAGAAUUACUAGUAAUAAAAUUUAAGCAAUUAAAUAGUUCAGAUUCUAAGAAACCAUGCAAAAUCUGACCGUUUUACUUGCAAGAAAGAUUCAUUGAAAACUUGUUGUGUUGAUCACCAAUAACUCGGAAAUAAGGAAGUCUUUAGAUCAGGUCUUAAGCUUUUGGAUUGUGAUAAUUUAACCAUGACGUACCUUUGAGUUUUCGGCACUAGAACGACUACGAAUACUAGAAACAUUGGUCCCAGCUGGCAAACUUCCGUCUUCCGUUUGUCUCUCCACGCGCACUCUGGUGAAAAUAUUAGUGUAGUUCUCAGAUGACGAUGGAUCGCUUUCGUCCCAGUCACCAAAUUUUGGGACUGUGGCACCACGAUCAGGCUGCAACAUCAAACAAUAGGAGACUGUGUCAUUCAAAAUAAUCUCAUCAAUAGUCAUAAAUCAAUGGGUUGCAGUGAAUUGUAGACAACUUUUGUUUUAAAAACACGUUGAUAUCUAAGGAACAAAUCUGGAAACUAAGUCACUGAGCAUUAUAAUGUACAAAAUCUUUUCAGAACACUCUAGUUGUGAACUUAAAUACGUGAAUGAAAGGAAAUGAGGAAAGGUGCUACGGUUUCAUUGCCCCGAGGAACAGAUUGUUGACGUGAUCUUCCAGGAGUUAAGGGAGCUAAACCUUCAUGACUACUUCCUCUAGGCGAACUUGAGCCUCUUCUUUCCCGUAACGGUGAAGAUGGUACAACAGUUUUUGCUUCAGUCCUUGGAUGCUGUCGCGAAUGAAGAGGUGAAUUUUCUAUGCUGCAUUCAGAAACUGUGCCAUUUCUCAUAGUCCCUUUCGAUGAAUUACUGGUCGAGCUGUGGUUACCUUGACGUUGAUGAAGAGGCGAGUUCAAGCUAACUUGACCCAUUGAUCGAUGGUCCAAAGGGGAAUCAAGUUGUUUCUUCAUAUUGCUAUCUUCCAAGCCCAAAUCUUCUUGUGUGUGCUUUGGCCUUGAUACUUGUUGACCCCGACUCUUUGCGGACUUUAUACCAUUAUAAUCCCGACCAGACAAUUCCGGAGCAUCAUGGUGUAAUGGAGAUUCAGGUUGCCUCCUCACAACACCACCCUCUUUGAUUUUGUGUUGCUCAUAGUUUGACCUCACUGUGUUUGAAAUCUCCUCACGGUGAGGAAGAGAAUCAUUUGGAUUCAUCCUCUCGAAUUUAGCCUUUGUCGCAUUGUCAAAAUAGGUCGUAUACGGGACAUCAUCCCCAUCAUCCCACUUACCAAAUUUUGGUACUUGUGAACUCCGCUGCAGUGGGAGAAGAAAAUGUUUUACUAAUCUAUUUUGAAUCGACCAAUCGUAAGCAAAGAAACUAGAUUUUCGGUUUUGAGCCGGAUUGCGUUCGUACACAAAGUUAUGACUACUAGAAAAGUAUUCUAAAAUCACAUGUAACACAAAUAUGAACCUCCUUUUAGAGAUAUUAUAAUGUGAUAAAACACUGACAGAACUACACUUUUCUCUCCAAUAAAGGUAAUUUCCUUCAUCAUCUUAGAAACUUCCUCAUGAGUUUCCUUAUCGUCCUUAAAAGUGCUAUGGUAACAGAUCUAUGAAGAGGUUACAAAACAACAAUCCAUGUCAAGGAAAACGAAGGUAUGCAAACAGCAUGAACUCUUUUAUCAAAGAAGCAUACAAAUUUCAAAAAAUGAAAAGGAAAAAUUUGUAACUGCAAACAAUUUCCAAAUCUCAUAUGAAAGAUGAGCAUUCUCAUGGUGAAAAAUAAACGAAUAAUAUUUUCUUUCCUGUCGAGAGACACAUGCAUAUCCAGAUAUCAAUCAAAAUUCAUGGCAAAAAGAAAAUGAAAAACACCAUUGUCAAUGGUGUUAUGGUAUUGCAGACGAAGAGUGUAUGAAUAAGAUAUCCCACGUGAAAUAAGGCAAGUAACCUUAUGUAAUUUAAUUUGUAUGAGAGGAGAAACAUUCUUGACUGAAUCUUUGACGAAGUCAUAGAAAGAUGGAAGGUGAAGAAAAAGUUCAUUAAACCAUAAUAUGUUCAAGAGACUCAGUCAUGGAAAGAGAGGUUUAAAAUUAGCCUAAAGGUUCAACCCAUUAAUUAAGAUAAGCUAGAAAAGGUCAAGCCAGUUUUGGACUCCAAGACAGUCAAAACCGAUUCCGUACUCUCUGAACUCGACAUCAAUUCAACAUAAUUCUGCAUUACGACCUCCAUUAACAACCACGACUCAAGAACAGAGAAACAAAGGAAUCAAUAGAUUUAAAACAAGCAAACCAAGAAGAUGAGUCGACGUGCACAUUUCAGAGGUUCGAAUCCCCCGAUACACACACACACACAAACACACGUAGUUCAAUAUGAUUCUACAUUACAAACUCCAUAAACAGCCCGACCUACGCAUAGCUCAUCUAGUUCAAGCCAUACGCGAACAUAACAAUUCAAGGUUCGAAUCAUAGAUCCCAGCAGUUCGCAACACAUAGUAAAUAAGAUAACCAAGAAAUUCAGUAUAAAACUUCAUUAUUUCAGAAACAUUCAAGAGAAGAAGAAAGAAAUGGUAAUAAGCAAAAAAUAACAAACAAAGAAGAGAGAUAUUUGGAACACUCACAGCCAUUAGCCUUCAGACAAAGGUCUAAAUCCUCAAACAGUACUUUGAAACGAAAAGGAGUAACCUAUUUUAACCUGCUCCAAGUUCCAUCGACACUGCAAAAGCUAGAACAAAACGAUAAAAAAAUUGAGCACAAAAGAAAAAAAUCGUACGGCCAAAAAAUGGAAGAAACAAACAAAUUAAACUAAAGAAAAAAAUGGAACUUCCAUUAAAUUAUUGACUUAAUAAAGCUAAGAUUUCGAAGUAGGACCAGAAGCAUAAUGGAAGAUUAAUGUGAAAACCUUUUGGAAAUCGGAUAGAGUUGAAAAACAGAUCCGCAAAUCUUCGACCCCAUUUUGAGGAUUGAAAUGAAAUGAAUUGUGGAGAAAGAACAUAUUUUAUUGUUUUUCACUAUCAGAUUAUUGAACCCUUUUUCACUGUUUAACUGAAUCUUUGGAGAAAGGAAAGAAAAGAAAAAAGAAAAAAUGGAAAAGAUGAGGUCAGCUGGCUGACGGAUGAAGACGACGAACUUGACAACUGGAUGAUUAAAAUCAUAGAUAGCGACUCUUCUGUCGGCCCAUUAAUAGUGCAACUCCCAAACUCUUAAAUCUUUAAUAACAAAUAAAUUCAAAAUUUUACUCUUUUUUUUUCUUCUUAGUUUAGAUAUCAUUUCUCUAAUUACAAAUUUGAUGCAAAUUACAAAACCACUCUUGAAUUGUAGUAGACUGGUGUAUUUAGUAGUUGAAUUUAUUGGGGAGCUGAAGGCAGCGGUAUUUACGUAGGAUUUGCAAGACACAAGUUGUUUUAUUUUAAACAAAAUAUGAUUGUAAUGCGGUCACCGAAAAAUUUAGUAUAGAUCCAAGGAUUGAGUCGUUUAGUAUUUAUAGAUAGCUUAGUGGUUAAUUUUUAUUUUUUUUCAAAUUCAACUCAAACCUUCCUGUCAAUAAAUUUUCUAGAUCCGUGAUUGUGUCUUUGAGGAUUGUAAUGCAGUCACCGAAAAAUUUAGUGUAGUCCAAGGGUUGAAACGUAUAGUAUUUUUAUAGAUAGCUUAGUGGUUAAUUUUAAAUUUUUUUCAAAUUCAACUCAAAGCUUUAUGUGAAUAAAUUUUCUAGAUCCAUAAUUGUGUCUUUGAGACUUGUGUUUCGCAAAAUUAAAUCGAUUGACGUGAUAGAUAAAAAUAACGAACUAUCAUUAUCAAAUACAAAAAGGUUAUAAUAUUUGUUGUAUUUAUAUAUAUUUUCGAUAUAUAUACCACUGUAUUACAAUUAUGUUUGAUGACUUAGUCUAAACAUUGAAAUAAAUUUGAAGGCCUCUAGUGUUUUCAAAUAAUAAUUUGAGGGUUCCUUAAAUUUAGCUACGUUAUUUCUAUUGUUUGAUAAAAAAAAAUUGUCAUGGAUACUCAUAAGUUAAAAUAAUAGAUAAAACUAUUCUUGAAAUUAUUUAAACCUAUUUCUGAAUUUCAUGGGGAAAAGGUAUGUUUUGGUAAUUCAACCACCAAACGUUCCUAUUCUUCAAAAUUAAUUCUCUUUUAUAAUGUGUUAUAGUUGGUUGAUUGAAUAUUGGGUGUUUGGCUUCUUAUGAAAUUAUAUUGUAAAAUUUUAAAUUAGAUGUGAGGAUUGACACCCAGAAACCAAUCUGAACUUUUCAAAAUGACCGAACCAACACCCAAUAUGGUCGAUUUUAUUAAAAUAUGGUCACUCGAUGGUCAAUUUUAUUAAAAUAUGGUCAGUGGUCGGUUUAAUUAGAAGGUUUCGAAAAACCAACUGAAACUGAUAAGCUGAACACUGUUGUCGGUUUUCACCCUGGUUUUGGCCCGCCUGACCGACGAUCACCCUAACGGUAAUAGAUCUAUGGGGAUUUUUAAAAACUUGAAACCUCGAGUUAAGUUUCUAAUCGUUAGACAAAAAUUCCAAAGUUACAAACCAAAUUUGCAAUUUAAGAAAAACAACAAAACUAGAGUUUAAACAGAGAGAGAAUGGUACUGCCGUUUCAGUAAUGCUGAAUAAAAAAUUUCCCAACCACAACAAUGCAAUUCCAAUACUAAAUUCUUAACCUCGUUUAGUUUCAAGUCUAGAGAUAAUUUAGAAUAUGUUUUUGCUAAUUAUAUUUAUUAAAAUAAAAAAAGAACAAAAGACGAGAGGAAAGUUAAGAAUAUUUAGCUAAAGAAAGUUUAGGAUAUUGAGAAGCAUUCAACUUCUAUAUAAUCAUUCAACAGCAUAUCAUCUUCUUUUCAGGGUUUUACAUAAAACACACAAGGACAAUCAACUGAUUCAAAAGCCAUUAAAUGUCUGCAAUUUCAGGUCGUGAAGUAAAUCUACCUCCAUGAAUUUGUGUGGGAAGUGGGAACCCCUCAUUUCUUCCCACUCUUCUUGAGCCCAGCACCUCCAAAGGUCCCCUUCUGUUGAGCCUUUGCUCUAAGCUCCUUGAGCGCCUGUAUAUAUCAUCAAACAUCGCAGAAUUAUACAACCAAUGGACCAGAAGAAAAAGUUAAUGUGACAAUUUUAAGUUUAAUUUUAAGUUUAUGAUUCUUAUUUGCAAAAUUUUAACGUAAAGCUUAUACACAGAGGAAACACUUUGUUACAAAUUUGUGGUUGUAUUUUAAAGAAAUUUAGUGAGUGAAUUGUCAAACUAAAUUUCAAUAGAAAGCAUGAAAAUGAAUGAACCAAAAUUAACAAAAGUUAAAAGGACGUGCACCAACAUGAACAGUUUGCAUUCUUUCAAGAACCAAACAAAAAGCAUCUAAUUAGACCAUCAGUUUUCAGUUAUGAGGUUCUAGUU